UUUUUUUUUUUUUUGGGUGUGUUGUGAUUAACAUGCUUUAUUAGUGGAAUGGAUGUCAUUAAUGGAAUUUCAGUUUAGUUUAGUGCUUUGGCCCUGACUUUUCAAAGUGGCUUUGAUUGUCUGGGCAAAAGUAGUCAACUUGACCUCUUGUAUAUAAAUUUUUAGCCCAUUAUAUUAGUGGUAAUACUGAUGGAUUUCCGAGUAUAGUUGUUGGCCCAGAUGAACUUCAGAUAUUCUGAAAAAAGGAAUGAAAAACCCGUGUGGGUAAAGAAAACUACUUGAAUAAUAGAAAUCAUAAUACAAAGUUUUUUUUUUUUUUUUUUUUGCACAGAGAACAAAUAAAUUGAUUUCACAUGAGUCAAAUGAUAUGUCUAGAGUAAUUGAACUUUUAUUUAGUAGAUAAUUGGAUUUAAUGAGGUAUAACAAGCAUCUCAAUUGGCGAAUUGACAUGGACAUACUGAAGAUUUACACUGGUUUAAUAACUACUCAUUUUUACCUUUCAACAAAUUAGGCCUCGUUUGAAUUGCAUUUUUUGCAUAAAAAUGUUGUGGGUUUUCGUAAAAAUAUUUUUUUAUUGCAUUUUUUUCAGUCACUUUUUUACCAUCAUACGUUGCAGUUUUAAAAAGAAUGUUACACUACGGCCUUGUUCUUGAUUGCAUUAGAAUUUAUUAAAUUUGAUGAUAGAGAAUAAUCAUUAUCAGUAAAAAACUACUUUUUGGGUGAUUAUAAAUUUUAACUUUUUUUUUAUCAUUAACAUAUAUAUAAUCAGAUUAAAAAAGCAACUGAGAACAUGGCAAAAAUAGAUUAUCGAAAAUCAUAAUCUAUAAUCAAUUGAAAUAGUCAACUGAGAACAAGCCAUAUAUUUUUUAACAAAAUAUCUCAAAAAUUUGUAAUCUAAACAGGCUCUUUGUGUUUAAAUUACAAAAGAAAUACAUUACGUCCAACCUUAUAAAGGAUUUGUCACAAAACAAAUAAAAAGUCAUAUAAGAAUAAAAAGGCAUUAAAAAAAAUGGUCAUUUCACAGUUUAACUCAUUCGUUCCCCUUACUGUGAGAUAAGUGAUGCAGUAGUAGUAUGUAACCUCCACUUAUGUCAUUUCGAGUACCAUUAAAGCAUUUACAUUCUAGCAUUUAACACAUAAUAAUGGUGUUUCACUUUCUCAUUUCUACCCUUCUAUUUUUCACCCCAUCCUAGGACUAACGGAAAACCCCUCAUAUUUUCCCAAAACAAAAAAAAAAAAAAAAGACCCCCUCAUAUGUACCAAAAGUGGCUAAAAAAGAGUAAGAGACGAGUUCUUGUGGCAACAAUUACCCCCAAAAAAAAAAAGAGGUUGAGUAAAAAAAAAAAUAAAAAGGAGAAAAAAAGAAUAAAUGAAUUAAACUAUUAUGGCCAAUGUAAAGCGUGAGAAGGAAAGUUGGAGGCAAUUAUUGCUGCAUAUGCUGACAACUUAACCUGGGGAUGACACAUGGUGAUAGAGCAUUUAAACACAGAUGAGAGAUUUGAUUGGCCAAUAGGGAUUUUGAGGGUGCUGCUUGCUUGGCAUUGAUCAGAAUACUAGAGUCCACACGUUGCCUGGUUACUUUUGGAGGGUAGCCUCAGCCCGCUAACAUUUUGGUUGUUUGCCUAGUUUUGAAGCAUGUAGACUAUCCCCAACUGCACCAACAGGAACACAUAUAAGGUAGUAGAAAAAUGCUGCUCUUUCUGGUUUGCAUCCCAAGGAGGUUUGUUUGGUAAUUUUGCCUUGCACCAAGCAGGCAAAGUAACUGACUUGUUUGAACCAACUGCUAUCGCAGCAGUUGACCAUUUUUGGAUUGAGAAUUAUUUGUCAAAAUUUAUUUGUUUACAUCAUCAUUACAAUUUUCAAUACACCUUUUUAUCAUUCCAAUUACCUUUUUAUCUCACAUACAUCACAUCACAAAAAGUGCUACAGUAAAAAUAUCUCAAAUAAUUUACAAUCCAAACAGAGCCAGAGUUUUAAAAUUCUACAUCGAUGUAAACUAAGGAAUCAAAUCCCUUGCACCCGUGAUGGUUCAAUCCCUGCCGAGUCACUUUCUUGACCCCUUCCAAUCCCUUUCCUUCUAGUAUAGAGUAACAGUAGGUGUAGUACAGAAUUUAUAGUGUCUGACAAAAAAAAAAAACUAACUUGUUUGGAUUGCCAUUUUUUCUUGAAAAGAUUUAAGUUUGCAUGAAUAUAUUUCUCAAUCACAUUUUUUUUAUCUCACAUACAUCAAAUCGCUGUAGAUAAUCCCCGACUUCACCAACAGGAAACAUAACUUGUUUGGUUUGCAUCCCAAGGAGGUCUGUUUGGUAAUUUUGCCUUGCACCAAACAGGCAAAGUAACUAACUUGUUUGGAUUGCCAUUUUUCCCAAAGAAAAAAAAAUUGUGAUUUCCGUGACUAUAUUUUUCAAUCAAUUUUUAAUGUUACACACAUCAAAUCACUGUAGUAUAUGUUUCAACAAAAAUUACAUAAAAUAGCAAUCCAAACAGGAACAAAUUGGCUAUCCAAUCGUACAGGUUGUCCAAGUACACCAAUUGAUUUUUAUCAAUUAUUUUCUCAGCAAGUUAAAAAUAACCAUUCUUCUAACAAAUUGAAUAUUUUUUCUUUCAUCCUGAGAUUUGUUGUUAACUUUUUCUUUUUUCAAUUUAGUUGUAUUGACUCAUAGAUGCAUGUUCACUAUUAUAGCUUGUGCCCACAUAAAGCUGUCAUGAUUCUCACACAGAUGUCGAUGAAGUUUGUUUGGAUAAGAAUUUAUUUGGAUGAUUUAUUUGAUCCAGUUACUGUAGUACUUUUUGUGAUGUGAUGUAUGUGAUAUAAAAAGGUGAUUGGGAAUUGUGUGUAUGAUGCAAGCAAAACAAAAUCUGAAAUAAAUCUUGCAAAUUUUCUUUGUCCAAACAACGCUUAAAUAUAAUUACAGUAGUGUAGAAAGAAAAGUUAUUUUAUAAAUGAAAAAAUUAGAGUAAAUUGCUGAAGUGGAUUUAUCCAAAUCAGAAUUUAACCAGCAAGCUCAGUAAAACAUUAGAAUUGUAGUACAAUAUUCUUCAUAAUUAAGAAACAUUAAAAUUUUUUAGUCGUUCCAUCCAACUAAUUGUGUUUGGAUUGCAUUUUUCGUCAUUUUUCAUAGAAAAAUUACUGUAGGAAUUUGAUAUAUGUGAGGGAAAAAAGUAAUAGGGAAAUGUGAUCACGGAAAACAACAAUAUUUUCCGACGGAAACAAGCAAUCCAAACAAGGUCAAAAAUGAUCUUUCUUUACAUUAUUGAAAGUGUCAAAAACUACACACGACCACAGGUCCUUUUGGUUUCUUUGGAGAAGGAAUGAAAGAUGAUACCACCAUGACCAUGCAUGCAGGUGGUACUGCUGACUAAUUUAUAGAGAUCUGGCAUUGUUCAGUAGUCAAGCGUAGUUACCUGUAUACAAAUUUGUCUCCAUAUUUGCAAGGCCGUCAAGUUUGACUCUGGUUUACAAUUUUCUUCCACAUUACUUGGUCGAUAUAUUCAUGAUUGUAUCACUUGCUUUUCCAACUUUCUUGAAAAGAUUCAAGAAGAGAAUGAGUUUGUAGGAGGUAAGGAAGGGUCCUCCAUCUCAUCUGCAUGUCUGUCUAUCUGUCUGUCUUUGAAUUCACAAGUUCUGAGCCAAAAAAAGAGAGGGAAUUGUAUUUGGAUGCGGUGAGGAUCCCCUUCCAUACUAAUUAACCCGUGCAGAAAUUGUAAUAAUUCAUUUUUCCCCCGGCCAAAUCAACAUAUUAUAAGCACAAAGGACAAAAACAUAAGGAAAAAAUCAUCAAGAACUGUUUUGAUAAGGCAUGUCCUUCUACCUUCUGGCCAGGUGAAUGAACACUUUGUUGAUGUUGAUUCUUCUGAAGUAUCAAAAGCACAAUGAUGAAUGAGCUGCCUGAGGGUGUCUCAAGUUGAGAUGCUAGCUAGUAAGGUUGCCCGUCAAAUCCCAGCCUAGUCGUCUUGGAUGAUUCCCUUGCCUUUUUACAUCAUUCAGAACCCCUUUUGCCACAACACUUGAAUGUCAGGAAGAUGAUAGAACAUGGCAUCAAAGAGUCCUGGAAACAAGAAACUUCCCAUAGGACGAAUUGAUGGGCCCUUGUCUCGUUAGCCGUUUAUCCUCUUGGAAUAAUGACGGGCUUCCAGUACAAAGCUCCCUCAAGGAAAUUGGCCAAGGAAAAUAGGAAAUAUGACGGCAUUUGCGGGUGGCAAGAUUUGCUCAAGCCCCCGGUCUAUCAGGAGAUUUUGGUUUCUGUCGGCGAAAGACGUGAAGGUUUUUUUUGGUGGACGAUGUGAUCAGUAGAACUGGGGGGCAAAGGCAUGUUCUUGCCCAAUGCUAUUCUGGUAAGAGUAGUAGUUUGGCUGUAUGAUGAAAUAUCUAAAAAAUAUGCAGUUGUCCGCAAUAGAAAUCAACUUAGUGGUUAAAAGAUUGUUUAGUUUGUACCAGAAAAAUAACGAAAGAAGGAAAAAUGCAAUGUCAACAACGUUGGUUUGAAAACCAAUUUUACUGAACAUAAACCACUAUCAUACUUCAGAAAAAAGAUAAACUAUGAAAUUCGAGUCAUUGUGCAAGAACAUGAAAGAGUAUCAAAAGUCACUACUCUCAACUCGAGUUAAAAUACUUAGAUUUGAACUCGAGUUAAAAUACUUAAAUUCGAAUUCGAACUCGAUCUUGUCGAAUUCUUGAAAGCCUAAUUCGAGCUCAAACUUGAUUUUAUUUUGCAUUAGCUUGAGUUCAUGCUCAACGAGUUCAAUUGAGCUUACUUCAAGUUCAAUAAAAUUUAAUCGAACCUAAUCAAGUUUAAGGAAUAUAAUUUAAUAUUUUAUAUAAUUUAAAACAAGAGACAAAAUAGACACUUCAUAUUAAUAAAUAAAAAAACUAAAAAACAUAUAUAUGUGAAACUCGAUUGAGUUUGAUUAAAUUCGACGAGUUUUUGAGAUUCACAUAUUAAAUUUGAACUUGACUCGUCAAGUAAUUUGAGCCGCUUGAGAUUGGUCAAUGUGAGUUCAAACUCAAGUAUUGACUGAGUAAGUUCGUAAGUUACUCAAUUUUACGGAACAUAAACCACUAUCAUACUUUAGGAAAAAGAUAAAUUAUGAAGUUUGAAAAGUGAGAGUUAGGGAUGUAAUCGAAUCGAAAUCGAGUAGUGCAUUAUUCGAGUUGGACUUGAGUUAAAAAUUUUGCACUCAAGUUCGAGUUUGUCGAACCCUUAUAAGUCUAAUUCGACUUUAAGUUCGAGUUCAAUUUUAUUUUGUAUUAGUUCAAACUCAUGCUCAACGAGCACAAUUGAGCUUAUUUUGAGCUCAAUUAAGUUUAAUCGAGCCUAAUUGAGUUUAUGAAAUAUAAAUUCAUAUUUUAUAUAAUUUUAAAUAAGGGACAAAAUAGGCAUUUCAUAUUAAUAAAAAAAAAUAUAAAACAUCUGUGUGUGUGUGUAAGAGAGAGAGAUUAAUAUGGGCUAAACUGGAGGAUACAUUACGAUAAGCCCAAAAAGUGACCCGUAUAUUUAAAAAAAAAGGAGCAAACGCAAACGAUGCAGCUGAAAAAUUCCGGUCCUUAUAGGCUUUAGCAAAGGCGCCUUGAUAAUCCAGUUCAAACUUGCAGGUUGCAGAUACUCUUCGCAAGCGUUUGACACUGGGAAUUUAUAGAGGGAGGAAGAUUGAUUGAAGACGUAGGACUAGAGGAACGAGAGGAAUCUCAGUUGCGCAUUUAAAUUUUGAUUAUUUGUAUUAGCAAACAAUGAUUCUGAGAACUCCAGCGCCGAGAAAGCGAAGGGCAGAAUCGGCGUUGCUUGAAGAAGAUAAUCAAUUUUUGAAUAGUCGUAGCCCUAAUAAUACUAAAAAUAAUGUUUCUAAUAGUAACAAGCAGCUGGUCAUCUACGAGGACUCUCCGUCGGCUCCGGUGCCGGAAUCGUCUCAUGACCAUCCUAUCACCUCCGACCAUAUGCUCUGUACUUAUCAAUGCCGUCAAAUGGUACUUUAUUCUUGUUUCAAAUUGUUGCUAUUUAUUUGAUGGAAAAUUAGUAGGUGGCUUGGCUAGUUCUGGAGUAGCCGAAGAGUUUAGGAGGUUUUUGGAUCCCUUGUAUGUUCAAUCUGAAUUCUUUUGAUUACUUUUUAUACAAUUUGGCGGUUCUUGAGCUGAAAAUGUGCGCGGCAUGUUUUCAUAUCGUUAGCUUAAAAAUAAGCUGAUUGUAGCCUUUUCAAAGUUGAAAGUUUUCUGGAUGUGUUCUAGUUUGCAUCCGGCCUUGCUUUUAGCUAAUUUUAAGGAGGAAAUAUGCUGAUUCUGAGAAAACAAAACUGUUCAGGUGCUUAAGACAACUGAUUGUCUUUUCACAAACUUUGAUAACAAAACAUGUUCGGAAUUUUUCAAACAGCCUUAUCAUAAUUGCUUGUCCAUAAUUGGCCUAAGACGAAGCUAACGAAGACAGGCCCCUUUCUCGGAUAUCAAGCAUUUUUUUGCUCCACUUAUAAUCUUCCCAACUGAAGUAGAAACUUUAUUAUGGAAAUAUUUCAGCUGCAGGUUUUCAUCUUGCUAUGUUUCUAAUAUACAGCAUGUCGUGCCAAACUUAGCUGUUUUUGGUAUGGUAGAUAAUUACUUAUUUGCACUUACAGAAAACGUUAUAUGUUUAGACAUCCUUUUUGCUUGAUAAAUCUGCUAAUGCUAUCACUUAUGGCUGCAAUACUUGUUCAUUGUUGCAGGUAAAAGCUGAGUUUUUUGAUGCUCUAAGCAAUGCAGAAAAACAGGCUCGUGAGUGUCAAUCCAAACUUGAUGCAUUGAAUGAAGAUUUUUGCAAAGCUGGUGGGUAACAAAAUAAUACAUGUUCAAUGUAAGAUUAAGAUCACUUGCCCCCCCCCCCUCUCUCUUUUGUGCAAUGAACUAUAAGUUCACUUAAUCAAGGUCUUGAUAUACAGGCUUGGUUAAGGUUAGCAAAUGCCUUACUGAAGUCUUGAAAACAUCUGGCAGUGUAAAAUACUUUUGUCUAGUUGAAAAAAUUAUCUAUAGCACCCAACUUAAUAUAUUUAAAAGAUUGUAAAUUUAUGUAUCAAGAUUUUCUCAGUGGUGUGUUUUCCACACUACAAGGAGCUGUACUCUAGGGUACUCAAAGACAGAGACAAAUUUUGUGAUCUAAUUUCCCCUGUUCUUUCUUUUGUAUGAAGAAUUUUUUUCUUGAUGAGUAUAUUUACUGAUGUCAACUAGUACUGUGAUGUGUUUGUGGCUGUUGCAGAAACUGAAAGGAAAAGAUUUCGAGACAAACUUUUAUCUGCAGAGCAAGAACUUGCAGCGGCAAAACGACGUGAACAGGAUCUUCAAGAACAGCUAAUGAAGGGGGUCAACUCUUCUGAAGAACGUCUCCGGAGACAGUUGCAGUUGUUUAAUGAGCUUGAGGUGCUUCCCAUACAGCUUCAGUUUAUGCAUGCUUAUUUUUCUUUUGUUCCUGAAGUUGGCUUACUUGUUCCUGAUGUAAAUUUAUGGAGUCCUGCUACUCCAAGUAUUUUGGUAGAGGGAGUUCAAUCUGCGUUGAGAUUUAUAAGUUUCACAAAUUUCUUUUCUAUUGCAUGAAGCACUGGAAUCUGGGUUAUAAGUGGGUAGAAAAUGGAAAACUGGGGCUGAUACCGGUUUAAUGCGUAAUUUUCUUACAGCACCAUAUCAGAGGCUUAUUUAGGAGCUUCCUUUUGAUUCUGCAAGUUUGUGCUGUGAAACCUGUGGCCAUGGCUUUUAUGUUGCAACGUGUCUCAUGUUUUUUUAGUUCUUAAUCAUUAUGCAUGCAGUUCUGUGUCAAACUAACAUUUCUUUGGGCUUGGUGUGGAGUAAAUACAUACUUUUGAGUACGUUGCAAUUAGCUUGAAUAAUUAUGGACACCACAUGAUAUGCUUAUAUGGUUAUCCUGUUUAAUUUUGUGUGUAAAAGUAACAAGUCACUGUUGUUUUUGGUUUUGUAGAUAAAGUUCCAAAAUGAGGUGAAUCUUCGCGAAAAGGCUCAAUCUUUGGCAGCAUUGGCUGAAGAAAAAGCAAGCGCACUGGAGGCGAAAUUACAAAAGGUCUCUCAGAGUACCGAAAAGGAGAAAAUUCGGCUCCAGAAUGAGCUUGCGCACCUGAAAAGCGAUUCAAAACUUUCUGUGUCCAGAAUUAGUGCAGAUGUUGGUAUGUAUUUGUUUUGCUUAUUUUUAUCAUGUUUAUUUGGACAUUUGUAUGUAAAUUUAUUCUUUUGGCUGCUUAGCUUGAGAGAAUGGAAUGCCGAGCUAAACAUGCAGAGGAAGAGUCAAAACUAUUGAAGGAUCAGAUGGAACAACUCAGAAAGCGACUUCAUGAGGUUAUAAAUUUCCUAGUUCUCAUAUUCUAUGAAGUGUUAGUCCUUGUUCUUCACCCAAGACUUUGGGGUUCAUUCAUUUGCUACGAGUCAUGAUUUUGGCUUUUCCAUACCAGCCUAUCAAUGGAUUUACUGAUUGACACGGAAUACUUAUUUUUGAAUUUAGCUUUCCUUCUUGAACUUUUUCUUUUUGUUAUUUUACUGUUGCCACAGUCAUGCUUCUUUAUUUGUUUUUUAGGGGUUUAAGUGUUUUGCUGAAAUUUUCUUACCAUUGGAUUAAGAUACUGAUCUUUCUUGUUUGACCAGUGCAUGCAGCAGAAAGGUGAGAUGGAGAAAAGGUUGUUACAUGCUACUCCACAAGAAUCUCCCUCUACAGACAGUAGUAUAUUGCUAAAGCAUUUGCAAGAAGAACUCAGGAAUUAUGUAAGUCGUAUUCUUAUCUGUUAUGAUCUAAAUGUGUUUUCCCUUCUUACUAAUUCCAAGUCACUGGAGAAUGCUGAAGAACCGAUGCCUCAAAUUUUGGGUACAUGGAGUUGGAAUGAUCCUGGCCUCAAAGUAUUUAUGUGAUUCGGUAUAGGACAAUUGUUGUUUUGAAUAUAUUCUAGGCACAACUGAAGAUAAUAAAAACCAAAAAGCCGAGAAAUUUAAGGAAAAAUGAAUUUAAUUACUGGCUACUAAGUUUAAUCAAAUGACGGAGUCCAAUGGGUACUGCUUCCUGUUUGCUAGAUUGCAUGGUCUUUACUGCACACUUGUAUGCCUUUUUGGUGUGUAUAAUGUACUGCAGAAAAUAGCUCAAAAUAGUGGGAAAGAGAUGUACAAUAUACCUCACAAUGGGUGUAUUUUCGGCUUGUCGCUUACAAAGAAACUAAUAGCAAGUCCAAAAGCUGGUAAUUGGACUUGCAGGGUGGCAAGAUGAUUCUUCUGUUCCAAAUAGUGCAUCACAGAAAAUCCUGACUUUCAAGUGGGAUAUACAGUAAUACAAAUCUUUUUUUCUUUUCUUUUUUUUUGGGAGAAUUUACCUAUUUAUCACUUCAUAUGGCCGAAUAGCCUCAAUGUACAAUAUCAGCUAGCUUUAUCUAGUUAUGCUGUUUCCUUGUUUCCUCUUCUGUAAAGACAGCUUACUUGUUUGAAAGUGCAUGUAAUGUUUUCUGUAUGAACUAUGAAAGCAUCUUUGCAAUUUUGAUUGCUCUUAAUAUCUUGAACUUCAGAUCAUCACGUAAUAUGGUCUGAAAAACUUCACAUGGUGGACUUAGUUUUAUUACUUCUCUUCUCUAUUUAUGAAGUCAUUUAGUUGGAAUGUUUUGUGUGUUGGCUACAAAAUUCUUUUCCCCAAUAUACAUUUCGGCCUUUGGCCACCCUACAACAACAAUACUUACUUCAUUUUUUGUUGGGAUUUUGACUGUUGAGAUGCUCCAAAUCAGUACUUCACUUUUAUUUUCUAUUGUUUAGUUUUGACACUGCUUUCCCUUUCUCACUGCUCAUAUGUACAAUGUAUCUCCUUUUUUUGUUUUGUGUCUUCCCUUCACAUUGCAGCUGUAAGUAUUUGAUAAGCCAUUUAAAUUCACCUUAAUCCAAUAAUCAGGAAUCUGAAGUACAUGAGGCAAGAAAACUGAAAUCCUCUCAUGAAAAUGUUGAGUUACUGAAGGAGAAAUUACAAGAAGAAAAGAGACGUAGAGAAAGGGCGGAGUUAGACAUCCUUAAAUUGCCGGAAAUCCAAUUGAGGAUUGAGAAGCUACAGGAUGAGUUGUCUGCUUGGAAAUCUUUGAUGAAAGAUAUUCCGGGCGUGUCAUGUGCUGAUGACGUACCUAUGAAAUUUGCAGCUCUGCAAAAGUAUGUAUUUGACGCAGUCCUACCUUUUGUGGUCAUCAACUUGACUUUCCAAAAGCAAAAGACUUCACUUAAUUUUUAAUUGCUAAAUAAAGGAGUUUCUACAUGUUUUGAAGAAUGAGUUUGGAUUUUAGUGCUCUCUUAUUCAUUAAUGCUGGAAAGUGGGUAGCUUAUACUAAAUUAAUAUUUGGUAUAUUUUAAUUAAUAAACCCUGUUUCUUUGGACAUCAUCUCUUAUAUGUUAAUGAAUAUUUCCUGCAUGUGGGAUUUUUUGACUUUGGAUUGGCAUCAUGUUCAGAGAAGUGAUUGAUAGCAUGAUGAAAGUUGGCGAGGCACAGGUACGUUUGAAAGAGAUUGAGGUGGCUCUAGAUGCUGCAGAGCUUGAUAAACAAAAUGCAAUUACUGAAGCUACAUUGGCUAAAGAGAAGGCAGAAUCGUCAAAGUCAGAGGUCAAGAGGAUUGAAUUGAUGGUUAGUAGGACAUGACUUUGCUGUUGUGCCUGAUAGUAUUUCUCUUUUUUCCCCUCUCCCAACCCUCAAAAAGAAGUUUACUGUCAUCAUAUUCAAAGUGCAGCAACUUUUGCUAAGCUUCUGCAGCAAAAUGGGACAUUCUUGUGUCUGUCUUCAGAAGCCAUUCUGUUUCUCUGUGAGCUGUAAUAAUCUAUUGGAAAAUUCAUGAUUAUUUUAUCUUACUAGUAAUAUAGAAAAUGCUUUUUCUGUAUGAAGAACUGAGUGUUCAUAACCUAAUUUGGGUCGAAGGGUGUAGGGAAUGAUAGAGGCAAGAGCACUUUGGUCUUCCUUUUUUCUGAAGCUUUGUCAAUUUGCUAGAACUGGUAAAGUUAGUUGUGCUUUUUCUUUUGACUGUUCUCUGAAGGUCUGUUUGGUGAAAAGUCAUAUGUAGGCCAUUUCAUGGUUCAAUGACUGGAAAUCUUAUGAUACUGCUCCAAGAUUGUGUUUUGAAUUUGAGGCAAUGAUGAAUGUAAACUUUAUGUCAAAGUUCCAAAAGCUACAUAGUGCAGGUUGAUUUUUCUGUUGUUUGGUUAGCAAUAAAUCAAGUACUGCCAUCUCAUUCCUCAAAACUCAGUUCUUGUCUGUAUUUUCUACAUUUAUGAGGUUUGCUGUGCUUGUUUGUGUCACUGCAGCUUGCUUCUGCUUUGGAAGAAAGAGACCGCCUAAAAAAUAUGUUUAAUGAAUUAAAAAGGGAAAAGCAUGCUCAGGGUGGGCCAGAAGUAACAAGCGGAGCACUUGUUCAGGUUGGUGUGGUCAAUGUUCUUCAACAUAUACUUUUGUGGAUUUUUAACUAAAAUGCCUGUAACUUGUUUGUGAGGAAAGGAGCUGGAAGCAUCUAUUGCCAAGAAGGAGAACUAUAUAAAGGAACUAGAAAGCAAUUUGCACGAGCAAAACCUUAUUAAUAUCCACCAGCAAAAUGAAAUUAAGUUGCUAAGUGUGAGGCUAACUGAUGAAGCCAGAAGAAUAAAGUCAUUAGAGAGGGAGGGUGAUCGACUUCGUUCUGAGUUAGCUCUAUUGGAGUCCAAGGUUUGUUUUCUAAACUACAAAUUUGCUAGGAUGUUCUGAUGUUUGCUGUCCCUAUCAUUCUUGAGCACCUUUUCACGCUUAUGGGUAUGGUAACCAAAUAGGAAGUGGCAAAAGACGCCCCAUUUUUUUUUAAUGUUUUUAUAAAAGAAAAGUGAGAGCAAAGAAUGAUGAUGAGCUACUUUGAAGUCUGAACUAAAUUUAAAAGUUUCACCUAUUGUACAUUAGAAGUUAGAAGGUUGCCAAACAAGAUUUACAAAAGGACUUUCUUAAGGCAAAAGUUAGAAUCAGCAGAUUUUUAGCAGACGAGAACAAGUUGUAUAUUCUUCUGUUCUAGCAUCAUGAACUUCUGUGUUGUAGUAGUUCCUUUAUUUAUUUAUUUUUUUGCUGCAGUUGGGGCAUGGCGAUUUUUCAUCUGCAAAUACAAAAGUUUUGAGAAUGGUGAAUACUCUUGCUGUAGACAAUGAGGCAAAACAAACAAUAGAGGCUUUGCAAAAUGAGCUGCAAAAGACAAAGGAGAAGUUACAGGCUGUUGAAGAGUUGAAAAAGCAAUCAGGUAAUCUGAGACUCCUGAAAGUGCAAGUGAUAGGAUAAUUAACAUGAAGUAUUCACUUUGUUUUGGUACUGUUGUCAGUUUCAAAUAUGGAUCGGCUUCCCAAUUAAGGAAGGAUUUGGAGUAGAUAGACUACUUUUCUCAAGAAUAGGCUGCCAUAAAUAUAUACAGUUGCAGAUUAAAUACUCCAGGAAUUUAGCAGUUGGUAGGCUUUUUUUUUUGUUUCAUUCGAAGCAUUGCCUGUUUGUUAGGCUUUGCAUUUGCUAGAAUAGGGUGAUUGAUUAGAGGAAUGAUGUUGUGAAAGGUAUGGUUUGAGUAAAACAUAAAAUCUUACUGAAAUUCAACUGUUGCAUUUCUAAGACAAAGACUAUCUGUUAUAGGCAUUUGAAAUUCAGGGAUUUAACUUUGGAGCUCCAAAAUGAAAAUCAGCCACCACCUAUAAACUUCAUAAGACAUCAGGACACUGGAGCAUCAAUUUACCAAUGCAGCAGCAAGAUAACCAACCUCUGAUUCUGACUUGACUCUAUGUCCAGUGAUUCCCCUAUUUGGUGAAUAACAACAGCUACCAUAAAGCAGACAAAUUGCCUAACAUGUGCCUCCUUGAAACUUUUGUUGGAUUUGUCAUAUGCUUUAUGCUGUAAAACUCUGCAAACAAGCUGGGUAAAGCAGCCCUUGGUCUUGGUCGCAUUGGUGGGUGAUGCAGAACAUGUUAGUUGUUGUAAGAAUGGAAAAUUACAUUCUUUGCCUCCUCUACCACAUUAGUUCAUUUCCGUAAUGACUUAAAUCAUUCUUUAAUGCCGCCCAUUAUUGCACUUUUUGGACACAAUGGUAGAAGGUGAAAGAUGCAGUUUGAUUUUCCUAAUUUUGACCUCUGCAAAGAGAGUAAAAUUGGAGGAUGUGGGAAGUUAAAUGGGGUUUGGAUUAUUUAUUUCCUGUCAAUUACAAUGCUCGCUGUGUCUUCACAAUUCUAACGAGUUGCUUAACUGGUUCAAGCUAGAAAGUUGAGGGCUUAGAUGUGGUGUAACUGAAAUCAAGGACCAGUGGUCCAUGCCACAUGAAUGGGGACCAACAGUGGAGUUCCAUGAAGAAUUCUUACUUUGAGAAACUGAGAAAAAUUUAACAAUCCACAACCUAGACUAUGGUGAUUAUGGAAAAGAAGUGAUGGUAAGUGGUGAAAAAUCAACUGCCUACAGUGUGAACAUAAUAAAAUGAUAGACCAUAUUGCUGGCUAUAUUUGAUUAUUGGUACUGGAUAAGGUGCAUGAGUAAGUAAUAGUAGUUUUGGGUGAAGAUGUUGGUAAACUUAAGUUCUGGAUGAAUGUGCUGUGACUGUCUCUUUGCUGAGUUAGCAGAAUGAUUGUAUGGAAGUGCAGGAGGCAGCUUAAGACAGUUAGACAGUUUUUGGACUGGUUGGACCAUCCUAAUUUGCUUGUAACUCCUUUUUGUCAAGUUCUGUAAUGCCUGACCACAAACAAACACCUCUAUUGGUUUUGUGUGUGUUCUAAACUAACUGGGCGCUAUGGAUUAAAAUCCUCAUGUUAUACUUGGUCAACUUCUUAUAAUCUGGCUUUGUUUUCUGUGGACAAUUUAGCUGAUGCUGGCACACUGGUAGACUCCUAUGUUUCUGGAAAGAUUGUUCAGUUGAAAGAGCAAAUUGCUACUCUUGAAAAACGUGAGGAAAGGUCAGCAGCUGGUGAAAUAGUCUAAAUAUUUGCUUUGCUAUUUAACUUUCUCAAGAGUAAAUAAAGCUCUGAAUACUUGAACAGAUACAAGACUGUAUUUGCGGAGAGAAUAUCAGUUUUUAGAAGGGCUUGCUGUGAACUUUUUGGUUACAAGGUAUUAUUUGCAAUUCAACUGAAUUUUAUUGUAGCUUCUCAAGUGACUGUUGCUGAAAUUGUAUGGCACUUGUUUUGUGGGAUAUUCCUGUUAUAAUGUGGUCUCAGAUUGUGAUGGACGAUCAUCAGCGACCAGAUGGAAUCCCUGUCACACGUUUUACACUCCAAUCUAUCUAUGCUCAAGCUGAUGAUGAGAGGCUUGAAUUUGAAUAUGAAUCAGGGAAUACAAAUAUCACGGUAAUCUGCAACUUUAUGGUUUCAUUUCCUGAUUACUUGAAUUUGUAAGCUUUCCAAAUUUGGAGGGUGGCUGGUAGUAAGAAAAAUUUAUUGUAUAAGUUUCAUCAAUAAUUUUUUUAAUCCACUUGACAUGAUUCUUUGCUAAUGAUCAUGUCACUAACCUACUUUCGUUUCCUUGUUUUACUAGGUGAAUGAUUACACUAGACAGCCUGAGAUAUCUCACCAGGUACGAAAGUUGAUUCACUUGAUGGAUGAUCUUUCUUGCUUGUUUGAUUCUGAAAACAAACAUAUUGAUUCCAUAAUUGCCACCGGACUUGUUCACCCUGUAUUAUGGGUGGUGCUGGAAACUAUCUCAUUCACAAGUGAAAUGUAGUUGUGAGGAUGUUAUUGACACUUGGCAAGAUAACCGAGCAAGAUUUGUAGCUUGCUAAAAUGCCUAAAGGGGAAGGUGAUAUGGUCUUUAUAUUACAGAGGCGAACUGUAUCUACGCUUUUUAUUGCGAGGGAGUUUGCAGUGGUUUUGAGAACUUCUCGAACCAAAAGGUGCAGUGAGGAUGAGAUACUAAGACUGAAGCUUAAGCAUUUAAAAGGGAUGGACUGUAUAUUUUUCGAUAGUUGAAAAAUGAUUUGAAGUCCCCUAAGAUCAAAAUCUGACCAUAUAGAAUAAGAUUUUGGAACAUUUAUGUGACCUGAUGGCAACAGUUAUUCCUCGAUUUUUGUUGUCUAUACAUAUGCUUUAUAUGGAUUUAUCUUGUGAACCCAUUGCUCGUGUGAAUACUUUUUUUUUUUGGCAUAAGUUGAAAGCAACUCAUACCAAGGAGGAUAGCAGUCUGUUUUGAAAACAAUGUUUGAACUACAAUUAUUAAAAAAUAAUAAUAAAAUUAAGCCUAUGUAGAUGUACAUGCUCAUUAAAAGUUACAUGUGCUGGAUGCCGUCAUCAUAUUCUUCUGCAUAUGUAAGUUCUGGCUAGUUGUUUGAUGUGGUUUUAAUGCUAGCCGCAUAUCCCACUGAAAAUGGUUUGUACUGUUAUGUAGUUACUAUGUGGAUUAUUAAAAGCUCUGAGCCAUGUAAAAGAAGAGAAUUUUAAAUUUAAGCAUUUUAUUGUGGUAAUCAUCAGCAAGAACUACUUAAUGCUUGUUUAGUGGAGAAGACAAGGAUAUAAUUUGAAGCUCAAAUGGUUCUUUUCCUCGUCUUUUUUCCAGGUUGAAAUAUUUAUCCGGAAGAUGAAUUCCAUCCCUGCUUUCACAGCCAACUUGACCAUGGAAUCUUUCAAUAAGCGGACCCUAUCUUAGAAUAUGCAAUGAUACCUUGGUGCUGUCCAUGUCAUCAUCGAUAAGGGGAGAUGAUGUUGUUGUGAUGUCAUUAAAUGUGUGAUGUCCUAGUGAUCGGGUGGUCCACCGAUUCUGUGGGUUCUCCACGGUGGAUGUUCUCAGCUACGUUUAAUUAGGUUAGCUUAUAAUCCUUUUGUACAAUCUGUGUGGUAGCAUUAGAUUAUUUUCAGUUCAAGUUUGUUGGUUUUUCAAAAUAUUUUGAUUUUGUAGAAGAGCCCGGAAUUUGUUUAUUCGACGAGUGAAAAAGCCAGCUGAAAAGGGGAAAAAAAAAGGAAAUUCUGGAAGAAACUCUUUCAAUUGAACAUUUUUAAGCCGGGUAUCUAACCGAUGGUUAGUGGAUUAUAUCUCGAGAAUCUAAUAGUAGUUAAUACCUACAUUAAAUCUUCAACCCCGUAAAAGGAUUGCUUGGUCGACUACUUCCCCAUAAUAAGGGUGCUACGAGGGACUUCUAAGCAGACAAUGUUGAAGACAAAGGUGCUAAGCUGUGGAGAGGUGGAAAAGUAAAGACAGCAGGAGCGGUCCUUUGUUUUGUUUAUGGACAUUGUCCUGCAGAGUGGGUAGACAUAAAUCACAUGUACAUUGUAGGAAGACAUUUUGGCUAUGAAUCUGAUGAAUGCAAAGGUAAGUGCAGUGGAUACCGCAGUCAAAUUUGUCUUCUUGUUUUCCAUCUUUUCCACAUUGAAAACGCAAGAUGCUGUGACAAGUAAGACCCAAGAAGCAAGGUGGGUAAUUGAUUCAAGAGACUUUUGAGAGGGAUGCAGCAGCAUUCGCACUUUUUGCAGCGUCCAAAACGGCCGUUGUCAUUGACUUGCUUUUAUUUGCUAGAAUAGUAAGUAGUACAUAUGGCAGACUCUGGUGCCAAAGUAUAUACAUGGUAGACUACGAAUCUACAGUUUGAUCAUAUCACAGUAUAUAUAUGGUAGCCAACAAACAUGUAUUUUUAGUUGAGUUUUUCUAACGGAUGUUCAUUGGGUACUCACUAACACACGCUAACAUUUAUUACCUUUGUAUUUAUAAUACUUUUCUUAAUUAAUCUUGGGUGUGUUUGGAUUCCCUGUUUUUGGGGCUGUUUUUGAAAAACUGUUUUUCACAUUCCAAAUGCUACAGUAAAUGUGUAUUUCCAAAACAACUCCAAAAACACCAUAUCCAAAUAUUAUAUCAAAAACAACUACAUAUGUAUAUUUCAAUUUGUAUAUUAUAUAUAUAAAUAUAUAUUAUAUUAUGCAAUAUAAAUUGAAAUUUACAAAUUGAAAAUUAUAUAUAUUAUAUAUUAUAUAAAUAUUUAUAUAAAUUAAUAUUAUACAUAAUACUAUAUAUUAUAGAUAAUAUAAUAUAAUAUACAUAAUAUGUAAUAUUGUAUACAUAAAUGUGUAAAUAUUUAUACAUAAUAUAUUAUGUACAUUAUAUUAUAAUAUAUACAUUAUUAAUGUAUAAUAUUAUUAUGUACAUUAUUGUAUAUAAUAAUGUAUAAUAAUGUUAUGUAUAAUAUAUAAUAUACAUAAUAUGUAAUAAUGUAUAUUAUGUAUAAUAUAUUAUAUUAUGUAUAUUAUAUUAUAUAUAUACAAUAUAAUGUAUAUUAUACAAAUUGAAAAUUAUAUAUUAUAUAUUUAUAUAUUAUAUAUUAUAUUAAUAUUUAUAUAAUGAAAAAUACAAUAAAUAUUACAAAUUGAAAUAUUAUAUAAACACCACAUUUAUAAUAUUAUAAUAUUUAUAAUUAAUAUUAAAGUAUAUUAUGUAUUUUAAAUAUUUAUAUAUUUAUUUAUACAUAUUAUAAAUAUUUUUAUAUAUUUAUAUGAAUAUUAUAUGUUAUAUAAAUUAUAUAUAAUAUAAAAAAUAUUAUAUAUUAUAUAUAUUAUACAUUUAUACAUAAUAUAUAUAUUAAUGUAUAUUUAUAAUAUACAUUUAUAUUAUUUAUUAUAUAUAAUAUAAUACAUUUAUACAUUUAUAUUAAUAUACAUAAUAUUAAUUUUAUAUUUAUACAUAAUAUUUAUACAUUUGUACAUUUAUAUUAAUUAUAUUAAUACAUUUAUACUUAAUAUUAAUAUAUAUUAAUAAAAUUAUAAUUUAUACAUUUAUAUAAUAUUCAUUUGUAAUUUAUACAUGUAUAAUUAUAUAGACUUAUAAGUUUAUAAAUAUAUUUAUAUUAUGUAUUUUAUAUAAAUACAUAAAUAUAUUUAUUUAUAAAUAUUUAUAAAUGUAUUAAAUGUAUAUUUAUAUAAAAAUAUAAAAAUAUAAAAAUUAUAAUUUAUAAUUUAUACAUUUAUAUAAUAUUCAUUUAUAAUUUAUACAUUUACAAUAAUAUACACUUAUACAUUUAUAAAUAUAUUUAUAUUAUGUAUUAUAUAUAAUAUAAUAAAUUUAUAAUACAUUUAUAUAUUUUUAUAUAAAUAUAUAAAUAUAUUUAUUUAUAAAUAUUUGUAAAUGUAUUAUAAAUGCAUAAAUGUAUAUUUAUAUAAAAAUAUAAAAAUUAUAAAUUAUAAAUUUUAAUUUAUACAUUUAUAUAAUAUUCAUUUAUAAUUUAUACAUUUAUAAUAAUAUACACUUAUAUAUUUAUAAAUAUAUUUAUGUUAUGUAUUAUAUAUUUAUACAUUUAUAAUAAUAUACACUUAUAUAUUUAUUUAUAAAUAUUUAUAAAUGUAUUAUAAAUGCAUUAAUGUAUAUAAAAAUAAAAAUAUAAAAAAUUAUAAAUUAUAUAAAUACCCUAAAAUAUGUUUUAAAAAUGCCUCUAAAAAUAAUUCAAAAAACAUUUACAGUAAAAGUUUUUCAUAUAGUUUUUAAAAAACAACUCCAAAAACAACUAAUCCAAACGGACUUGUAUUUCAAAAACGAAAUGCUACAGUACUGUUUUUGAAAAACAACCCCAAAAACAGCUAAUCCAAACGGAGCCCUUACUUUUUCAAAAAUUUGACAUGUCAGCAUACACUUUAACGAGAGUAUUUAUUGGACAGGAUAAUUUUAGAAACCACCCUUUAAUAUUUUAAAAUUACACAUAUCUCUCCUAUUGCUACAAAAGUACUCUACUACCCCUAUAUAGGAUACUUAAUGACAUUUUUUUUUGGAAAAUUUCAGAAAUUUCAAAAAAACCAAAAUUGACUUAUUCUAUCUCUCUCUCUCUCUCACUCUUCACGCUUUUUCCUUUCUACCUCACUCUUUCUUCCAUUUCCUCUUUUGCUAAAUUCCUACCACCCGUUCCUCUCUGCUUGAUAUUCUUCCUUCAAUCCAAGAUAAAUUCUAUCUAUCAUCCCUUACUCGUAUUUAUCCCCCUCAUUCCCUUCUUUUUGGCAAAUAAGAUUAGGUUCAUCCUUUUUAUCCUUUUAAUUCUAAGUGUAAUGGGUUUGAUUUUUCUACAUCUAUUUAUUUUAUCCAAUGUUGGUUGAUUAUGGGUGAUAAAACUUAGUGAUGUCAAAAGUCAAGAAUUUGAGGGAUGGAUGGGCUUUUAGAAAUAGGUGGUUGAAAAAAAAAAUAAAGAAGGUUGCAAAGAGAGGAAGACGAAAGCUGCGUUAUUGAUUGUUAAUGAAGUGUUAGUUUUGGGUAAAAUUUGAGGUCGAGUUUUAUCCAUUUUAGCACCAAGUGAUGAAUUUAAUUGGCUUGUGUAGUAAAUGUAGGGGUUGGGAUUAUUGGACAUAAAUGAAAUUUAUUUUGAUUUAAAUUGGGGUGUUUGCUUGACUUUUGGGGUGGCAUUGCUUGGAAGGAGGCAAUCAUCAUAGUUGAAUUUUUUUUUUCCAAACUUUUAUUUUUUGGCAGAAAGAGUUUGUUGGCUUUGGUGUUGGAAGAAAGGCAAUCAACAAAGCUCUUUUUAUUUUUUCCUUUUUAUCUUUUUGACAAAAGGGUAGUUUAGGGUAUUUGAAAGAAUUGGUAGCCUAUUAGGCCUAUUUUAAAGCAUAAAUAGUGAAAGCAAGGGAAAUGAAUAUAAUUUUUGAAACCUAAAGGGAGCUUCCUGAAAUUGUUAAAGACCUCAAGGGAGAUUUCUGAAAUUAUCCCUUACUGGGCAUUUGUUAGAUGGACUCUUUUUAAUUCACACUUCAUCUUUCAGUAUGUUAUGCUUAAUGCUCGACUGUUCAACGGUGGUGGUCAUGACUUCAAUUUGUCCUAUACUCAGUAUUCAAGGCUACUUUUAUUAAACCCCACCAACAAAUUGUAAGAAAAUCGUGAAAAGGGCACAAAUUGUAAUUGCCUUAGUCAUAACCAACUUACCACUUACCUUUACCUUUAGUAAGUUGGCCUAAACUCUUUUUUGAACUGUAGGUCGAGUGUUCGAAUGAAUUCUUGCAUCUAUAGUUAACAAAAAAUUCAAAAGUAUCAUAGUGCAUUUCUCGUCUAAAUGAGUUUUUUUCUUUCAACCCUCCCAUAUAGUGCAGUUGAACUCUCCUUUCUCCUUAUAAGAGUUCUCAUAUAGUUUAGUUGGGUUCUCUCUCUAUCCCUUAAAGUAGGAUAAAAUAGGUUAUAAAUAUUGUCACUUCAGAGGGACGAAAGAAAGUCGUCGCAUUAGUCACGAGCUUUUCAAGGUUGCCCUUGCACAAAUUUAUGUUAGGUAUUUGCAGCACUUCUACAUAGUACCCGGCUGAAUUUAGUCCAUAGUAAUGGGACAUCGCGAGAUGCCAUAACUCUUUAGUCUCGUCAUGCCGGGAAUCUGAUGCCCUGUUUGGACCCUAAAGCAUUCGCGGGACAUAGUGAUGUCUCGGACGAUCGGACUUGGGAAACCUCCCGAAUCCAUUCAAUAUGCACAAAGGAACCAUCCUUGCGUUACCAUAUAUGGCAUGUACCACCCAAUUGUAUCACAGUUGCCAGCUCCAAGUGCAGUGAGAAAAGUCCUUAGUAGCAUGAUUGAAGACAUGAAUCCCACAUCCAAGCCAAGUUCAUCUGUCUGAUCAGAAUGGAUGGCUCUCCCACAUCUCCAUUCCACUUUAGGAGGACUUAGCCCAUGCAAUUAUGAAUGCGUUAUAAUGAGGGACAAGGGUUCCAUUUUGUGUGUUUACCUAAAGGUGAAUAACGUUGGAUCACUCUAAAGUGAAGGAAAAUAAAGCUAGGAAUCUCUUAGAAAACAAAGAUAGCAUUCAUAUCAAGGCAAAAAUGCUUUUUAGUUAGGUUGAUAGGUAUGGAUGAUCCAUGGGGGGUGAUGGAGGCCAUGUGCUGGAAUAUGUCUCUCACGUCAUGAAGCACCACCAAGGACCAGCCAGCCAUGAACGAACUUCAUGGAGAAUUCCCUUGUGAUGAACUGAGUGGGAUAGGAUGGAUACAAUACAAUUGUGGUCAUGAUUAGUGUCACUAAUAUAUGGAGGAUCCUUCAGCAAAACUCCAACGACUCCUGUUUUUCAAGAAAUGGACAGUAACAAGGAAAGUGAUUUUGCUAUUAAAAUUUGAGCAAGUAAUGGGUAUCGUCUAGGUUGGAUUUACAUGGUGGUGGUGGACUCUAGUCCAAGACUCAUGGUUGAGUGUGCAAAUUAGGUGUUAGUGCCGCCUUCUUCGGAGACCCUUUUAGUGAUUUUACGAACUUAGAAGCAAUUCAAUUGGAGGUGACACAUUUUUCAAAGCCCCUGCCAAUUAAAGCAUGCAAUACUACUGCAUACAUGCAUAAUUGGCAUAUAUACUACCAUCACAUGGUCGUUCUUGGUGCAAACUGUCAUCAUUUCAACAACUUACAUUAUCUAAGAUUCGUCACCUGAGAUAUGUUAGUAAUGGGUAAGCUAAAAUAGCACUUUUGGAACUGAUGAGAGGCAUGUUUGUUAGGAGUAAUUGAUACGCUACCACUUUUGGCGCCCGUGAGAAGUUCAUAUCUUAGGAUUUUCAUCGCUGAGUUUUAGCAGCAAUUCAUACGUAUUGCUACCUAGCAUUUUGCACUAGCAAGGAAAAAGAUUGGCAUAACUACUGUUAUGAAAAAGAUCAUGCAUAGUUUGCACUGAUUCUCCAAUGUUUUAAUAGCCACAGCCUUCUGAUUCAGCUUAUACUACUAGUUUCUUGUUUUCAUGCCUCUGACAACGACUUGAUAUGAAUUUCAACAAAAGCCCAGUUGAAUUUGAUACCUCGACUAACCUGGACCCAUGACAAUUAACAUGUGUGUUGUCAACGUUGUGCAGAGUCGUUUCUUUCCUUUCCUUUCCUUUCCUUUCGUCCACUUAAUUUCAAGGAGUUUUGAUCAUAUCUCUGAUGCGAUUCUAAUUUUCAUAAGAUUUUUCAAAUCUUGAAUUGACAGUGAAAGUGCACAUGAGAUGUAUUGUCUGGUGAGAUUGUGUCAUCUCGCAGUUGAAGUCAAAAUGCCGACUACAAUUUUAUCAUAUCCUACAAUGAAUUGAGUCAAUCUUUGUACUGGAAUUCCAUAUACUUGGAUUAUCUUGCGGUACUCAACUUUAUGAGGAUCUCCUCAAAGCUCAAGUAAUCUUCGUGUUGUCCCGCUAAAAUUUGACCACUCGUUAGAUAACCACAAUAGAUGUCGGAGUUGACAUAUGUUGUUUUGGGAACUCAUAAAUAAAUAUGGGAUCAAGGGUCUCGCAAGUUGAGUUCUGUCCCAUUUAAAUUGAUUCGUAGAAUUUUUAUAAAUUUUUGUGUAAAUUUGUACAAUUGUAGAGAGGGUUUUUAGCAGAGACUCUCACAAUGACUUCCAAACUUUCCAUUAUUUUUUCUAGAAUUUUGUAUUUAUUUUAAUACAUAAAAUCUAAUUAAAAACUUUAAAAUAGUGGAUUAUAACUAAUCCUAUCACUAGUCAAAUUUAAAAUUUAAAACUUUUCCACUAUCUCCUUCAUAAACCGUUUAUAGUUUGUUGUUUAUACUUUAAGUCAUUUUUACUCCUUAAUUAAAUAAAAUACAUUUGUCAAGCCAAAAUUCUUAGGGAUAAUUGAUUUAGUCUCAUUUUAAAAUCAUUCACCCUAUUAUAUCUUUAUCACUUUAGCCCUUUUUAUUCCUUCAUUAAAGAGGAUUAAUUUAUCUAGCCAAAUCCUCGAGAUAAUGUGAUUAGUCUUAUUUUUUAGUUAUUUACCCAAUUAUUUUUUAUCGCUUUCCUUCUGAGUACAAUAAUCAUUUAUCAACAUCUUCUAAUGAUAUACUCAAUUACUCUUAUUUUUUAAUAAUUUAUGUUACAAUUACUAAAUCAAUUUUCUUGCAGUCUUAAACUUAUCCUUAUUCUUUUGUAUUCAUCAAGCUUAGGGCACUUUAAUAGGUUUCCUUUUUAUAAUUUUUAUGUUGGAUUUUAUUCAGUAGGUUUGUUUUUUUAAAGUUUUAAAAUUUGAGUGUUGAAAUUAUACUCUAACAUUAAAUUGGAGUAUGUAAAUAACAAUUAUGACAUUUUAUUUGCACUUAGAAUAAACUCGAUAUUAAUAUCGCGCAAGCAACUAGAUGACUUUUCAUUUAGCACAUGUACACCAAAAAGUGCAUGUAAAGAAAAAUUUAUGUAUGAAUUUUAAAUUAAGGUGUAUCUAGAAGGUUGCUUUUGGUGGUAUUUUAGCAAAAUUUUGAUAAAAAGGUUAUAUUUCACCAAAUUUACAUCCGAAAGUUUACUUUUUCUCGAUGAUUGCAAUUCUUGCUUUUUAUUUGAUUAAAAACACUUAAAAAUGAGGCAGCAACUGCGAAAAAUAAUUAUAACUUUUUAUAUGUCCAAAAAAACUUAAAAAGUGAGAUGAAGAAUCAUAAAUAGUGAAAGGAUUAGAAAGAUAGGACUGCAGGGUUAGAGAAGGGAAAGAUUAGGGGAGAGUUAUCAAAUUAGAUGAUUCAUAUGAGUUUGGGCAAGUUAUAAUUAGGUUAAUCUAUAUAUUCCUACUUAGUUAAUGGUUCAAAAUAGAUGAAUUCGUCAAUGAAUAUAGUUUUAUAUGGGUUUGGAUUAUUCAAUCACCCAUUCACGGCCCACUACUAAAUUUUAUUUACUUUUUCAUCCACAUUUUGUUUAGCAACAAAAUAGUAAAUCAUAUCAACAUAUCAAAGUUAAUAAAUCAAUUUUUACCUAAAGAAAGAGAAAAAACAAAAAAAUUACUUAGAGGAGCCUAAAAUGGUCAUCAUAGUGAGUUUCAAAUUUUGUCACUUUAUGACAAUCUAAAAAUAAUUUAGGUAUUAAUGCAAACAAUCAAUUAACAUUCACGAAAUUUAUUAAGCUUUUAUGAAAGGAAUGGAGGAAGUAGGAUAAAUUUUAAAAAAUAAAAUAAUAGAAAUUAAAGAAGAGAAAAAACGAUGAAUACAUCUUUGCAAGAUUUAGAAUAUAAUUAUUAGAGUAAUUUAGAUUUACCCACUAAUGAUUGAGUUUGAAUCUACGUUUAAUUUAAUUAAGUCAUAAUAAUUGGGUAGGAUAUGAAGGAGCGAAAAAAGGUUGUAGGAAUACGAGAAAGUUAGAUUCAAAAAGUGAAAAGGAUACUAGUUGACAGUAGGGGGAACAUCGAGGAGAUAGGAGGUUGAAAGGUGGAAAAAGUGGCACGAAGGGAGAUAAUAUGAAAGAAAUGGAUAAUAAUGUUGUAUUUGGCUAUAUUUUCCCCCUCUCCUAUAAAAAUCGGUGCAUUGCACGGGUCAAAAUACUAGUUUGAGUGUAAGCUUGAAUUUAUCAAUUCACAUAAUCAAAGUUGACAGUUUUAUCAAACUGUACAAGUUUACACUAAAUAUGGUAAGAAUUACACGAGCUAAUUUGAAUUAGAAAAAACUCAACUUCUGAUAAGUAUGUGGGGAUUGCCCGUUUGAGCAGUUUUCAAGAUUGUAAAAUCUUUUACUACAUUAAUCAUCAGGCUAAAAUUUUAAAUGUUUGAUUCGAAAAUUAAAUUUAGCAUCAUAAGAGUUGUUAGACUGGUGCACAUGAGGACGUUUUCUUGAUACAGACGCUAAAUCUUGAAUUGUAGACGCAGCUUGAGAGUUUGGCGACCAACCACAGCAUUAUCUAACCUUUUCCUGACGCCCAAAUUCCGAGGUGGGUUUAGUUUAACUCAAAUCAAUUCAUUGGUCAUCACCAAAAGAUACAACUGAUUUGAUGCAGAAAGUCCAAGAUUUGAAGAGAAGGAUUGAAAAUUGGAGCGGUAGGCUUUGCUAAAAGCCAGACAUUACCACUUCAAAAACUUUUGCUAACUGUUGAAGUCAUCAUACUUAUGCUGUUACUUGUACACAUUAGUUCAUAGGUCACCCAAUUAAAAUGCCCAAGGAGCCAUACUUUGUUAAACUUAUUAUGUACAUUCGCAUAAAGAUGUCUGAUCAGGCGAAAAAGGCUCAUGCUUUCUAGAGCCUUGCAUAAAUGUAAAAUCAAAUGCAAUGGAAAUGUAAAUCGUUCACUAUUCUCUGACUGUGAAAUUUAGUUUUUUUAAAUAACAGAGAGAUGACGCGAACAGUCGCUAAAUCAUAAUAUUGGAGGUUUACGUAUUUUAACCAAAGAAUAAUGGUGGAGCCACGAGGUAAUUGAGAUACAUGGAGCACUGCAAGAGCUGAAUUGUUGUGCGUGGUCUCUUCUUGAUCAAGGAAACGGUGGUAUUUUAUAAGCUACAAUUUGGCUAAGAGAAAGGUGUAUGAUUACAUAAAAUAAAUGGAAGUCAUAAAGCUGGGGAACUUUAUUAGAGGAUUAUUAUUGUUGUGAGAAGGUCCACGCCUGAGAAUGGCUACAUACGACAAAAGAAAAAGAUUGGUAGAGAAGGGGGAAAAAUCCUUCAACAGGGAAAGCGAAAUGUCGGCAGUUUUUGUAUCGAGUGCCUAACUGCCGACCCUUCGCCUUUUUGACAUAUUCCUUCUUUGCUUAGAUAUAAAUACUAAUUAAGACGUGGAAUUUACACACGCAUAGAAAUGUAAAUAUGGAUAGGGUUUAGUGGGGUUUGAUACACGAAAUUCUCAUCUGCUGAACCUUUUUACUGCUUCUUAGGAUCAAAUGAAAUUAAAUUACAUCCUAAUGAUAUUUGACUAAUUAGCCAUCUUUGGUGCUAAGGCAUCCUAGGAGGCAAUGGCCACCCUUCUUCUUACUCCCAUAGCUUAACUUGGUCCAAAUUUGGUGGAGACCCCAUUAUUCAACUCCUGCAGUUAAAGUCCACCAAAGGAAAAAAAAAAAAAAAGAAGAAGCAAGAGUUUUGGUUUUCGGGGAGGGGAGGAGGGGGGGUGGACGUGCGUUUGAAUUUGGGCAAAAAACCUCAGCGGCCACUAAACUAUUAGUCAAAUAAUGUUUUGGCCAUCAAACUAUUUUUCGUCAGUAAUUAGCCACUAAACAACUUAAUUAAUAAAUCCGUGACCAUUUAAUCGAUAAUUGCUCUUAAUCUGUGAAAUUAGUUGUACACAUAGCAAAGUGUGAGGUAAUUUUGUUCAACAAUUACGCGACCCUAUUUCAUAUAGUAACUGUUAAUUUUACAGAUUAAGAGCAAUUAUUGACUAAAUGGUCACGAGUUUAUUGAUUAAGUUGUUUAGUGGCCAAUUACUGACAAAAAAUAGUUUGAUGGGCAAAACAUGAUCUGACCAAUAGUUUAGCGGCCGCUGAGAUUUUUUACCCUUUGAAUUUUUGUUCUCUGGUUUGAGAUCACAGUGAAUAAUAAAUCAAUUAUGAAUUGGAUCGAUUAGUUAUUUUACAACACCAUUUUGUCUGAUCAAGUUAAUUAGGCAUUCGUUAACACCAUUUUGAAAUUUCUUGUGUUUUUUAGUUAUGUGCAUAACUAAAAAAUUUAUUAUAUUUGUUAAAUUACAUAUUUAUAAUUUCUGGUGCAUAUUUAAUCUGUUAUUGGGGCAGUAAUAUAAAUCAAAUUGUGCUGGAUGAUUUCCAGUAACCUGUUAAUGAAAUUUUACUUUUGAUAUAUUAAAAAAAAAGUAUAAUAUGCGUGGCCUCCAAAUGCCAACGAUAACUGUGAUACGCUACCGUCAUUUGGUGCGUGCUUAAAGCUUGUAUUUGCUUUCUAGGCUUUAAAAAAUUGCAAAAAAAGACAAAAAAUCAUGCAAAAUUGUGGAAGUGAUAGUCAUUCAAGACCUACGUUGAGCUAUUUCACCAGUCAUUUGUACGAUUACCUUUCUUCCUUUUGUACCAAAUAUGAAAAUUACAAGGUAAGUUGUCAGCCUUUUUAUUGUUCUUGUUUGUGAUUAUGAAUAUUAGUGAGCAUGAUGUUUUUUAAAGGUGUCACCACAUGUUAAGCAAUAGUCCUUUUGCUGUUUUCACUCUUAGAAAAUGUUAAGCAGAAUCUACACCAUUAAGCAGGAAUUCGCAAAAUAUCCACUACCGACUAAAAUAAUUUGCCAAAAAGAAAAAAUAAAAAGGAUUUAGCAGUAAAUUUUCUUAUACUCCCUCCGUCCCACUUUGAUAGUCCAGUUUUUCUUUUUCGUCUGUCCCAAUUUGUAGUUCACUUUCCAAUUGAAGAAUGUAGUUAUCUUUUAAUUUCUCUAAAAUACCCUUAUUCAAUAUAAGUUGUUAGUAGUAUAAACUACCUUAUUUAAUAUAGAUUGUUAACCUACCUCAUUUAAUACAUUUAGAUUUUCCAAAACAUAUUGAUAUAUGAAAAGCUAGCUUUGUUAUUCUUUCAAGCCAAAAUGUGAAAUAAUGUAAAAUGAGGAUUGAUUCUUUCUUGAUCAUCAAUUCAAGUUCCCAUAAACCAUCAAUUCAAGUUUCCAUGAAUAAUUAAUAUAAAGUUGUACUCUAUUUAAUAUAAGGGUAUUUUAGGAAAAUAGCAACUAAAUUUAUUGUUCUAACAAAGUUAACUACUUUUUCUUAAACUGUGUGAAAAAAAACUAGGACUAUCAAAAUGGGGCAGAGGAAGUAUAAAAUUUUAGCAAAUGCAAUUUCUUAAUUAUAUCUUGAGAAUAUUAACGUACUACAGAAGUUCAUGAACCACCUAAUAAACCAAAGUAAUUCUAGAGCCAUUUGGAGUUGCGGUAACUUAUUGAAAAGUAUUUUUUCAAUAGAUUUUUUAAUAAAAGUACUUAUUAAGUGUUUAAGUACUUUUAAGUAUACUGUUUGGAGAUAUAGUUCAACAAGUAUUUAUUGUAUUGGAUAAUAUGUGAUUUAAAAAUUUUUAAAUGUAUUUAUCUCUUUAUUUAGUUUAUUAUAUAGGAUAAAAUGAUUAAAUUUAAUAUUUUAUUUUUUAAAUUACAAAAGGUGCUCUAAAAGCACCAAAUUUGAACUUUUACUAAGAGCGUUUUAAUAUCAAAAACUCUACUUUUAAUUUUAUGGAAUGAUGUUCAUCAAAUGACUUAAAAGUACUUUUAAUACCUAAAAAUACUUUUUUACUAACCAAACAGGACCUUAAUUGAAGAUGAACUUGACCAGACCAGCAUGGGGACUGGCCAUCAACCCGACAUAUCUAGUACAAAGUUGAGUUAUAAUGGACUUCUUGUUUUGGUGCUAAAAAGGGCUCGAUUUGAAAUGCACAUAUCAUUGUAUAUAUCAAAUAUACACGAAUUUUGUUGUUGGUAAAAAAAAAAUAAUAAUAAUUUCUUAGAGCCCGUUUGGACUGUUAUUUUCUGAAGUUUUUUUUUUUUUUUUUAAAUUCUGUAACGAUUUGAUGUAUGUGCGAUAACAAAGUAAUUAAAAAAUAUGUGUUCAUAAAAAAUAUAGAACUUUUUUUUUUUUUAAAAAAAAAAGGCAAUCCAAAUACAUUACACUAAUGGUUACUGCAGGUAAAAGUGUCACUAUACAAAAGAUUAUGGUCCAACAUUUUAGCUUAAUGGGAUCCACUCUUAAUUCAAAAGCCAUGUCUCCACUUGGUCUCCCAUAUUUGACAUUGUCCUCCUUCAUCUCCUCCUCCCUCUCGAUGGCGCGGUGGUUCUUAAAAAGAGAGUCAAGCUCUCUCACUAGCUCGAAAAGAUUAUUUGAUCAUGGAGGUUUUAGGUUGGCAUGCACUUUACAUACACUAGUAAAAACUUCCCCGAUCCCCACCAGAAAUGAAGAAAACCAAAAAGGAGAAAACCCACUACUUUAUUUUGUUUUCGCCGGCAAACCAAUCAGCAGUUGCCACUUAACACCAAGAUGCUGGGAGCUGUAUUAACAUUAUAAGGCAGAGCUUUCCAGUUACAAGCUAAGCUACAAAAGAUUACCAUUAGUUAUAGUACUUUUUUUUGAUAAUAGCUAUAUAUCUACUUGAGAAAGGUGUUCAUUUGGAAGCCAUUUCAUAGGAAUUUUCGAGGAAAAAUUAUCUAUUAAUAUAUAGAAGAAGUGACGGGGGGAGCAGAAUUGAGUAGGGUUGGCUUAGAUGGCGACUUUGCUUCAUUACAACCCUACAGCACACGUGCGAGCGGAGCAAAGGAGGAUGAGAUCAACAUAUUACACAUCGACCCAUUGAUCACUUUUUUUUUUUUUUGCAGUGAGAUCAAACAUAUUCUGUGUUUGAUAUUUUUGCAGUGAAUUUGUGCUGUAGAGAAUUGUUAAAUUAACUCAUCAUCCCUUAGAUUACAAGGGAUAAGAAGGGGACCAGUGUAUAAAUUUACCAAUCGGCAGAUCAGUGACAAGGUUCAUUAAGAUGGAGAGCAAAAAGAAAAAGAAAAUCUCAAGUGCGGCAUACUUUCUCUCUUGGUUGGUCGGUCGGUUGGUUUACCACAAUGAAACUAAUAUGUUCAUGAGCAUGUGAGAUCUAGUUAGCAAAUCUUAUCCGACGGGGUUAAAAGUGAGACGUUCAUAAGGCCGGGUUAAAAUUACCUAUCAGACAUCCAUUGAAUUUAAUCAAAGGGUGCUCCAUGAUUUUGGCCAUCACAGGAAUUUUAAGUUCUUUUGUCGAGUUGUAGGUCGUGGGAUCGAAUUCCUUAACCUGCAGUUCUGAUGCAUUCUUCUGAUUUAGAGGUGAUUUAUUCUCUUCUUUGAUUUCUGCGAGUCCUUCCCUUCUCGAUUCGAUUGCGUAAGAGUAGAAUAGAUACUCUAAUUCCUACCCAAAAAUGAAAAAAAAAGGUGCUCUAACGUAGUACAUUUUUGGCCCAAGACUCCUUUAGACUCACCUCUUAUUCAUUGGUAUAGGAACAAGAGUAGGUACGAUCACACAGGCCCCGUUUCGAAGGUGAGUUUUUUGGGUGUUUGUCUAAAAAUUUACUGUAGAUUACUGUAGAAGUUGUAAGAAAAAUUUUUAGGAUGAAAAUCUUUUUUCUUUCUUUUUCUUUUUCUUUUUUUCUUUUACUUUCUUUCUUUCUUUUUUCUUUCCUUUCCUCUCUUCUUCUUCUUCCUUCCCCUUCCCCCGGCACCUCUGCCUCUGACGAAGAAGAACCAGCAGCCAUGUUUCCAAUUUUUUUCCCUUUUUCUCUCCCCCUCUCCUCCCUCUCCCUUUCCUCCCCUUCCCCGUCGCCCUCCGACGCCAGAGAAUUGCAGCCAUGGAUUUUUUUUUUUACUUUUUCUCCCCCCCUCCUUUCCCUUUCCCGCCAUCCUCCCCCUCUCCCUAGUUGCGAUCUGGUCUCCCAGCAGCCAUCCUGCAAUUUUUUUUCCUUUCUCUGCCCCUCUUUUCCCUCUCCUAUCCCCUCCCUCUUGCCCUCCGACGCCAGAGCUAGCAGCCAUGGAUUUUUUUUUUAGCUUUUUCUCUUCCCCUCUCCUCCCCCUCCCCUAGCUGCAAUCUGGUCGCAAGACGAGAUCGUAGCCCCCCUCCCCCUCCCCCUUUGCGAUCUGGUCGCGCGACCAGAUCGUAGCUAGCGGGAGGGGGACGGUGGCGGGGGAGGGAGAGGGGAAGAGGGGAAGGGAGGAGAGGGGGUGAGGGAGAGGGAGAGAAAAAAAAAAAGAGGAAGGCCAGCACUGAUUCCAGUGCCGAAAUAAGUGACCGGCGCCGAGAGCGGUGGUGGAGGUGAUGGCUGGCAACGGAGGACGUGGUGGGUUGGGUGAGGGAGGAAAAAGAAGAAAAGUUGAAGGAAAAUUUUUUGUGUAUUAGAUAAUUUUUAAGUGUGUAGGUUAAAAAUUUUGAAUUUUUUUGGGGUUCCUAUAGUAAAAAUUGUUAAAAAAUUAGUAACAUACAAACUUGGGGUUCCAAACAAAGCCACAAUUUUUUGCUGGAUUAGAACGUUAGAAGUGAUUUAGUCCCUUCUGAAUUCCCGACAAAUAUAUACUCAAGUCUGUAUAUAUCCAUGAGUUCCAUUCCAACUCUUGAUAUGAAAUUGAUUAAGCUUGAUUUUUCAACUCACCAUGAGUGGCUAAUUUAUUUAGUUGCUUUAAAAGAUAUACUACGUGCCAAGCUGUGUGGUACUGCUGCAUCCAGCUUGGACCUGAAUGUUGAAGUGCUGUCCGUCUCUCCCACACGAAUUAGCACACAAUUAUUUUCGACCAUUUAAUCGUUCAACGUUUGGUAUAUAAAAAUUAUACCACUGCUGAUUCGUCUUUCCAGCUGGUGUUGUUGUAAACGUAGACGGUCUUAUCCAGUUUCUGGGGCAUUUUGGAAAACACGUAGACGAGAAAAAUCAAGCAAUCAACCAAGAAAAAUCAAGACAGCAACCAAGAGUUGACUACUUAGUCGUAAUAUAAUGGUUCUGUUUGGAAGAUGAGUUUUUUGGGAAUUUGUCUAAAAUUUUACUGUAGAAAUUUUUUAAAAAAUUUUUGAAUGUGUAGAUUUUUGAAUAUUUUGAAGUGUAUAGUUUAAAAAUUUUAAGAAAUUUUUUGAGGUUACUGUAGCUAAAGUUUUUAAACAACUAGUAGCAGACAAACUUGGCAAAAAACUUGAGUUCCAAACAAGGCCAUUAAUAUUUCGCUCAAAGAAGUAGGCAGGGAAAAUGGUUUUUCGGUUAUACUACAACACUUUCUUAUAUACAUAUGUAUAUAUAUAUAAUGCAUCAUGAACUGCUUUUGACCUUUACCUUGUCAUUCGUCAAACGGAUUAGUUUAUGGACUCAAAAUCAUAGCAGCACAAACUUCGGGAGUAUAAUAAUGCUCAUUCCUCCCAUCAAGUCUUCACUGCCGACUCUCUUUUGACUUUGGAUCUGCUGUCCUUUUUAUACUUCAUGCUUAAAGAACUUAUUGUACACACAAGAUAAUGAAAAUGAAAGUUUUGCAUCUUUUACACGAUAAUAUUUGAAGAAAUAUCACUUGUCCAGAAAUAUUAAGACUAAUUUUACUUUGAGCCCACUAACUUGUAUAAAACUCUCAUUUUUCACCAUCAUAUGCAUCUGCGCAGCAGAUGAAGGCAGGGAUGACAAUAGGACGGGAUCUAAACAUAUCCCCCACCCCCCCCCCCCCCCGGUUACCUGCUCCCCUGGCCCCCACCCCACCGCACUUCACUUCCCCGGCAGAUACCUGCGGAGGGAAAAGUUUAUAAUUAAUAAAAAAAUAUAAUUAGUAAAAAAUAUAAUUAGUAAUUUAGUAUAAAUGUAUAAUUAGUAAAAAGUAUCUAAUGGAAUAAAUGUAGAUUAGUAAAAAUUGUAAUUAGUAAUUUAGUAUAAAUAUAUUAGUAUAACUAGUCAAUAAUUUGUAUUAAUAUAAAUAUAUAGUUAUUAGUAUAACUAAUAAUAUUAAUUAUAUUACAUAUGCAUAAUUUGAUAUAUAUAUAUCUAAUAAUAAUAAAUAUGUUAUGUAUAUAAUUAAUAUAUAUUAUUUUAUUUAAGCGGGGGAUGGGGCGGGGGUAUAGUCUCCUGUCCUCUGCCCCGUUUUUUAAUGGGGGAGCAUUUUACCCGCUGCCCCGCCCCAUUAUCCGUUCCACGGUACCCACCCCCAAUUGCCAUCUCUAGAUGAAGGAAACUUUUUUUGUUUUUGCCCACAUUAUACUACUGAGGAAGAAAAAAGAAAAAGGAAUAAAAGUUGAUAAUAAGAGAUAUCUACCCAAAAAAUAAUAAUGUAAUGUGAAAAAUGAGAAUCUUAUACAAGUUAGGGGUCCAAAGUAGAAUUGAUCAGAAAUUUUAAUGCAUGUGAUACAACAAUAAACAAUAAUGUAAGCAACAAUGACAGAAAAGAAAUUUUCACUAAGGGCGGUGGGAUUAUGCUAAUUCUUAUGCAACUUUAAUCUAAGUUAGGUCAAUCAUCAUAUACGUAAAAUUAUUACUUGCUAAUGCACAACCACAUAGUUAAAAAAACAAAAAAGAACUUACAAGAAGGCCUAGAAAAUAGACACUAAUGAGUAGAAUUAUUACUAUUGGCCAUGAAAUAAUCUAUAUAUAUUAUCGCUAUUGGCAAAUGCAGAGAGCCUAGUGGAGCUACUGUUUCUGCAUUCCCGGGGUGACCUCAGUGCCUAGGCACCAAUCACCAUGCAAAGAAUUGAAUAGAGGAGAAGGCAAAGUAUAAAGCAACAUCUAGCACUCGUCCAGUCCAAUUUUGAAGGUCAAAAUCCCUCAGGCCACUGUUUUUUUUUUUUCUUGUGGUAAAAUGUAGCAAACUGUCUUCAUUUCGGCCACAGAUUAUAUUAUAUCAAAAGACAUCUGUAGCCAUGUGACCAGCCUAUCUACAUGUAAUCAAAUCUUUCUGCUGUCAACAAGUCAAACGAACAACCAAUUUUUUAUUUUGUUUUUUCAUAUUUUCCACGUUAGACUGAUUAAAAAGUAAAUAGUGCAUUAAAUAUUAUUUCAUGGAGGACAAAUUUUCAAAUUUCUUUAAGAGAAACAUUUAAAUCAGAAAAGAAUAGAUUUGAAACUAUUGGCUUUUAGCUUCAUAAGUCCUUUUCAUACCAUAUCAAUGAGUGUGGAUUAUUUAUGUGUCUCUUUAGAAACUCAUGCUAUAUAGAGUCAUAAAAUUCGCUCACGGACGUGUCACCACUAACUUGAGAAAGCGAUUUUUUCUAUAAAAAUUAUUGAAAUGACUCAUUAAGUCCUAAACAAAAAAUGUAUCAUAUUUUUGUUUGAAUAAGUAAUUGAGCUUAAUUACUCAUGUUAUAUAUUUUUAGAGGAAAUUAAGUCUUAAAAUAAGACAUGAGAUAAGCAAUUAUUGCUAGUGAUGAUCAUCAUUUUUCUUUAUUUAGUCAACAAAUUGUCAUACUUAUAAAAUUCACCAAGUAUGAUUGACAUGGUGCGCUAAUAGUAGUAUCCAUCCUUACUUUCCCAUUAUACAAGUACAAAGUUGCAUGUGGUAUAAUCCAUUUUUCAUUGCAUCAUCCUUAGUAUUGUCAUAGGUACAAUCAAGAUGCUCCUUAGGUUGGGCAAAUGACCCCCUCAAAAUUUUAAAACCCCUUUUUAUACCUUAUAACUAUUGCUAAUUGCAUUUUAAACUAGUUAUAUUGUAAUAGUUUGCACUCCCUAAAAUAAUAAAAAAUUGUAUAUUGCUCCCCCUCAAAGAAAAAUUAGGGUACUUAGUAAAAGUUAAAUCAAUCACCAACUAUGUAAUGAGGGACAAGUGAAGCAAAACCGAGAAAUUAGUAUAUAAAGACAAUUCAUGCUUAAAAAGUCAAAAAAAAAAUACUGUUUUAGAUUGAGAAUAAUAUGGAAGGCAUGACCAAAUACAAUUAAUCUAUUUAAGGAAGAAAAGAGCUAUGUGUGGGGAAAGAAGAAAUAUAUAAAGAGAAAAGAGUGCAAAAGCAAAGAGAUUAAUCUAAUAGCGUAUUACAAACUAUAUAUUUGGAAUAUUUCUUUCCUUGUUGAAUUUGAAUUCCCUUUUAUUGUUAGUCUUUUAUUUGGUUGAUAAUUAACUCACUGACACUUGGAUAAUUUGCAAUUGUGUAACUCAUUUUGGUAUUAAAGCGCCCUAUAAUUUAACACUCGACUAAAUUAACCACACCAUUUUGUGAAAUACUAGUGUUAAUCAUUCAAAUAAUUAAUGAAACGAGUGAAAAUGCUAAAUUCUAAUUUCUUUUUCCAUGGAAACAUAUAUAUAAAUAUAUAUGGGAAUUUCAGUAAAUGAUUUUGGGUGCUUGGAAAAUUAUUGACUACAUUAAAAGGACUAGAAUUAGAUGGUUACUAGGCAUUUUUAAUAAAAUUAGAAUUAGACGGUUGCUACAAUAAAAGGAUUAAAAGAAUUUUAGUAAUUAAUAAAGUAACUAGGCAUUUUUGCAUUUUUGUAGUUGCUUUUUUCACUAAGAUACGUAGUUACUCAAUAGUAGACAGUUACACUUCCUAACCCCGGGUCUUGACUCCGCCACGACACAAAGGAUAGUGAUAAGACUUAUGAAUGCAAUAGCAAUUGUUGAAUCUGAAAUUAUUAUAGGAAAAACCAAAAAAGAAUUUAGUUAUAAGGAAAAAAGGAAAGAGGUCGGAGUGGGGGGAUUGGUUGCAAAGAAGCUCUCAAGGCUAUGUGGACUCCGUGGCCACACUAGCCAAUAGGGACCUGAAGAGUUGUAUAAAUAAGCUAUACAUCUGUCUGUCUCUUUGUAUAAUCUAUAGCAAGGUAAAUAGCUCCUUCACGCCUCUUCUGAUAUGUAUGUGCUCACACAAAACUAGUGAAGGAAGUUUUUAGAGGGAUUCAGUUAUAGAAAAAGAACCAAGUAGUAAGACAUAUUAUACUCCUAGAUAUAUAUAUAUAAAUAAAAAAAAAAACUCCUAGAUAGCAGAGAGGGAAGUGAAGGGACAAUAAGCUAGCCCAGAAAAGAACUAGAGAGAAAGUUGAUGGAAAUGGAGGCAAGAAGGCAGCAGUUGGAGAAAGGGGAUAAUGUUGCCAGUGAGGAAAUUACUACUGUUGACUGGAGAGGCAGACCCUCCAACCCAAGCAAGCAUGGUGGAAUGGGAGCUACUGCUUUUGUGUUAGGUCUAUUUCAUGCUCUCCCUUUAAUCUCCAGUAUUUGUUGUGUGUGUUUUUCUGGGCUCAUCAUAAGGGGUCAGUUUUGAGGUUCAGAACCUCAAAAAGCAGGCUUAGGACUAAUUUGCAUCACUUUUUUUUUUUUUUUAAAUUAUAUGAGGUUGCACCUUCUCUUUCUUCCCUCAUCCGCAGCAAGAUUUCACCUUUCUUUCUGAUGAGUAAACAGUAACCACCUAAAAUCCAGUGUUUUUUUGGUUGCGUGUGUGUGAUAUUGAUUUCUUCUUAGUUUCCUUUAAGAUGGCAAGUCGGUAAUUUAGAUGUUGAUAUGGUUCUGUGUGAUUGCAUGUGUCCAUGUUGAUGUGAAUUUUUGCCCCUUGUACAUAUGUUUGUUUGGUCAGGGUUAAUUACAUUUUUUUUCUUUUUAUUUCAGUCAUUGUCAAUUUAUACAUGGUUGUGAUUUUCUGAUUUUAUGCCUUGAAGUUGAGAUGUAUAUCUAUAUAUACCUUCGCAGGGCUUCAAGCAUUUGAAAUAAUGGCAAUAGCAGCAGUUGGGAACAACCUCAUAACGUAUGUGAUCAAUGAGAUGCACUUUUCUCUAUCAAAGUCUGCCAACAUAGUGACAAACUUCAUUGGAACUGUCUUCAUCCUCGCACUCCUUGGAGGCUACCUCUCCGACUCUUAUCUUGGUUGCUUUUGGACCAUGCUCAUCUUUGGCUUUGUUGAACUUUCGGUAUAUCUUCUUUCCCCAUCAGUUUCUCUCCCUUCUAGGUCCCUUCACUUUUUGUCUUUCUCUACCCUCUCCUUUCUUUUUUUUUUUUUUUUUUUUCUUUUAAAAGCAAGGCGGAAAAAAUGAUGAUUUCAUCAAAAAGAUUAUUUUACCAUCAUACUCUCUCUCUCUAUAUAUAUAUAGAGAGAGAGAGAGAGAGAGUAUCAGCGCGCAAAACCCAGAAAAAUCAUCAGAAGACAAAUUAUUUGUCUGGUCCUUGUUUAGAGUACUGGGAAUCUAACUGCUACAAGAAAUUAGAAAUUGGAAAUUGGUUCAUGUUCAAGUACAUCCUGUGUGUGUACGUCUUUGUAUUUGCAUGUGCAUGCAUAGGACAAUAUAUACUUUGUUGGUUAAUUGGUGACAGUGUGAUGUUAUAAUUAUUUGUCCUUUUUGUAGUAUAUAUAUAUGUCAAAAUUAUUGGUUGUAGAAUAAUAUCCAUGUAUCAGCUGAUCUGUACCUUUAUGUUUGUGUUGAAUUACAGGGUUUCAUACUAUUGUCAGUUCAAGCUCAUUUACCCCAGCUAAAACCACCCCACUGCAACAUGUUAACUGAUGGGGACAAUUGUGUGGAGGCGAAGGGAUUCAAAUCCAUAAUAUUUUUCAUGGCACUGUACCUGGUGGCAUUAGGGAGUGGAUGUGUGAAGCCAAACAUGAUAGCUCACGGUGCUGACCAAUUUGACAAGGAAGUCCCCAAGGAGUCCAAGAAACUCUCGAGAUACUUCAAUGCUGCCUAUUUUGCCUUCUCCGUGGGAGAACUUGUUGCUCUAACCAUUUUAGUUUGGGUCCAAACACAUUCUGGCAUGGACAUUGGAUUUGGAGUCUCAGCUGCAGCCAUGGCAAUGGGUUUGAUCAGCUUAGUGGGUGGUACACUUCUUUACAGGAAUAAGCCUCCUCAACGAAGCAUCCUCACCCCAAUUGCACAAGUAAUUCAUUCAGAAUCUUUCUUUGGUUCCAUCUUUCACACAUAAUUAAAGAUAUAUACUCCUAUUUAAUUUGUACUAUUACUUAAUUUUUUUUUUCAUGUCAUUAAUUUCACUAACCUCUCUGUGACAAUGACCUGGGGUGGGAUUAUUUAUUUGUUGGAUGACAAUUGGAAUCUUUUAUCAUUUAUUUGUUUUAAUCAUUUUAUAUUUCUCUAAUUAAUCCGGUGAAUUAAUUAAACUACUCUUUUGAUUCUUAUGAUUGUGAGUGCAAUCUUGUUUUCUUGUGCUUGCUGCAUUAAUAAAAAAAUAAUCUCCUGUUUGUUGAAUCAAUAAACUAAGGUCAUUUAGAUGCAAGUGCCAGCUGCUGUCUUCUUCUGAUUAACAUUUUUAUGAGAAAAGCUCAUCAUUGAUGUGCCAUAUCAUAGCCCAACAUCUCAUUUUUGGUCGGAUAAUUUGGCAUCUACUUGUACAUUAAUCUGUUGAAUUUUGUAAUAUUUCUCCCAGGUCCUAGUGGCUGCAACUUUAAAGAGAAAGCAAGUUUGUCCUUCAGAUCCCCGACUGCUUCAUGGGAGCCACUACCCUAAGCUUCCUAGCAGCAACAAUAUCACCAUCUCUGAAAAUACGGGCGAUCUUCAUCAUACUGAAAGAUUCAGGUAACUUUUUCUUUUCCCUUUGCAAGAUUCUAAGUUGGAUUAGAAUACUCAGAAAUUUCUUUAAAUUAUCAUUUACCCUCCAAAAGAAGUUUGAGAAAGUUUGCAACUUAAUUAAUAACGAUUGACAUUUAUUAGACAAGAAACUGAGGCUACCUACACUGAAUCAAUCAAUUAAUUAUUUUUCUAACUAGCAGUAGUGCAAUUAAUUCUCAGGUUCUUGGACAAGGCAUGCAUCAGAAUUCAAGAUGGAAAUAAUACAAAGGAAAGUGCAUGGAGAUUAUGCACAGUAAACCAAGUCGAGCAAGUGAAGAUACUAAUUUCAGUCAUUCCCAUCUUUGCAUGUACUAUUGUCUUCAACACCAUCCUUGCACAGCUCCAGACAUUUUCAGUUCAGCAGGGAAGUGCUAUGAAUACUCGGAUAACCAAAAGCUUCCACAUCCCUCCGGCUUCUCUUCAAGCAAUCCCUUAUAUUAUGCUAAUCUUCAUAGUCCCUCUCUACGAUUCGCUUUUCGUCCCUUUUUCCAGAAGAAUCACAGGUCAUGAUUCCGGGAUAUCGCCUUUACAGCGAAUAGGAUUCGGCCUUUUUCUUUCGACAUUUUCCAUGGUGGCAGCCGCACUAAUGGAGAACAAGAGAAGGGAUGCUGCGGUAAACUCAAACAAGAUAAUAUCCAUUUUUUGGAUCACCCCACAAUUCUUGAUCUUUGGAUUAUCAGAAAUGUUUACUGCAGUUGGCCUAAUUGAGUUCUUCUACAAGCAGUCUUUAAAGGGGAUGCAAUCAUUUUUAACAGCCAUUACUUAUUGCUCAUACUCAAUUGGAUUUUACCUAAGCUCAGUUCUUGUUUCUCUGGUAAAUAAGAUCACUUCACAUUCCUCCGGUGGUGGUUGGCUCAGUGACAACAAUCUCAACAAAGACAGAUUAGACCUUUUCUAUUGGAUGCUAGCUGCUCUAAGCUUCAUCAACUUCCUCAAUUAUCUGUUUUGGGCCAGAUGGAAUUCAAAGGACUCGGCAAGCAGUCUACAGUAUGAUUCUAACAACCAAGAUUUACGCCAUCAUCCUAUCUUCAGCUCCAGCAAAAUUGCUGGAGAUGAUAGUAUACCUUGAAUGUUAUUGAAUUGUCCCCAGUUGGAUGCUUAAUUUCCUGAUCGCAUCCCUUGAAUAUUGCACUAGACGUAUUUAGAGGAAAGAAAUCAAGAAUGCUUUGGGAGUGGCCCCAAACGCUUGCAUAUUAGGCUAAUCUCAUCUGUAAACAGAAGCAUAAAAUCCCAUUACAAAUGGGUUAUCUAAUUUGGAAUAUGGUGGAUAUUUCCUCCAAAUGCUUUAUGUACUUGCUCAAGGAGUUGAUGGCAAAGUAUCUUGAUGCAUGAUAAUUAAUCGGAGAUUCAUACCCAAAAAAACUCCUCCAAGAUCUAAAACAAUAAGCUUUUACUUCAUAACAAUAAAAUAUUUAGAAGCGAUCCUGUUUCUAAACCAAAUCAUGGCUUAGAUUCUCCCCCUAUACUAUUAUUAUAAAGUUAUCCUUCGAAAAGCAAAUGGUUGCCUAGUUGUACUUACGUUCUACAAUUGGAGGGCUUGCUUUCCGCACUAUAUGAAAAAGGGUUUUCCAGGACAUUUUAAGUUGGUACGAAUUAUGAAGACCAUAUAUAGGCACAAGUUCAUUUGCAAGAUUCACUGCACAAAUCUCUGCAACAACAUCAAUAUCAUGAUUCUUUUAUGAGCAUGACGAGUAUGGGAGAACCAUUGCAUUUGAUAUUCUAUGGAUUUGGAUAGGAAAGAAAGGAACAUCUCAUCUCCAGUCCACCUACUAGUUUUGGGUGCUUUUCGUCUCUGUUGCAUGAAGCUAAAAGGGUCCCUCAGUGUAACCUAACUACAACAAUAAUACGUAAUGCAUAUAUUUGUAUUCAUGGAACACAAUCAAAGCCUCUAUCCUUUCAAGUCAAAAAGAGAAGGGGGCGGGCCAGGAGGACGUAAGGGACACUACUGAUGAUUUUCAUGGAGGAAAUCUAGCGUAUGUAAUUGUAGAGAGAGGAUGCUGUCCUGGUUUUUUGUUUUCACCUUUCUACUUACAGAGGGACAUGUCUGAAACAUGUUGUGAUGUUGGAGCUAGGCCCCCCACUUUGGAGUUUGGAGGCCUUUUACAAUUUCUAUCCUCCUAACACCACUGGCUCAAUCCUCAUCAAGAUGUUUGCUAAAAGAGUAACAUGGCCCCCUCCAUGCAAUAUGCCCUUUUGAUCCCUCAUGCUCUACCAAUUUAUACCAUGCACAGUUAAACGGGGAAACAAAAAAAUGAAAAAGAGCUAGUACCCUGUACCCUACCAUUUAUGAGAUUGAUCACAAUUUUGCCUCAAAUAUAUAUAUAUAUAUAUACCAUUAAUUAAUUUCCUAACAACAGGGGAGGGCAAUUGCUGAAGGAAAAAAAGGGAUUGUUAGAUUUGGAACUGAAAAUCAAAUGAUAAUGGAGCCCCUUAACUUAACUUAAAGAUCUUUGUAAUGCAAAUAUAUACAUAGAAGUCAACGUCAAAGAGUGGAAAUAAAAUGUUGGCACCCCAUAUUUGUGUGUUUUAGGACGCUAUAUUGUGGAACACCAAUUGCGGAUUAACAGUAAUCUUCAUAAUUCUUCUGCAUCGAAUUUAUUGUAAACCGCAGAACAUGAGUCAUUGACUACAUUUGUAUACAUGAAUUGUGGCAACCUCCACAAUUCAUGCCAACAGCAUAAGACCUUCUUUUAUUUUCCUCCUACCAAAAGGAAAAUACAUACAUAUAUAUAUAUAUAUAUAGCAAGAGCAAGAGCUUUGGUUCCUUUUCCUUCCGUUCAAUGAAUUUGUAGCCUUUUUCUUCCAUGAUAACUUUACAACGUCAUGCCACGUGCACAUAUAGUAUUAGUAGCCAAACUGGAAUCCUCUCCCUCCCUUGCUUUUUUGGGGGGUCUUUCUGCCCCCCCACAGCGGUUUAAAAAUCCAGCACAAAGUUUAUCCAUGCACCUCCAUUAUUUAUGCAGCUGGAUGCCUACAGGUAAAUACCAUAAUCAGGCAUACUACCUGAGAAACAUCAUCAAGUUUUCGGACAGGGAAAAAGAAAAAAAUUGAGGAAGCAAUUUAGCAAAAAAAAAAACUGCAAAUUCCAAUUUGUAACCUUUUACUGUUUUUUCCCCACCUUUUGCAGCUGUUAGUACAACUUCAACAAAAAGUUACAUCAGAUUUUUCCCUUUUUUUAUUUCCCCAUUUCUCCCGGCCACUGAAAAAUGGCGUUUUUCACGAGCAUUCGGAUGAAAUUGAGCUGCAGCAAACCUCCAUUCAACCAUUUAGACAAAAUGAGAGUUCCCCGCAUUCAACUUAAACCACAUAUUCUGGCAGAUCGGAAGACGACUGCGGAUGAGGCUUUUGAUUCCUAACUCGACUUACAACUAACUCAAACACAGACCCCAAAACAAAAAAAAACAAAAAAAAAAAGAGGUCCAGACGUGAAGACUGAGAACUGAAGAACGUUGAGGUACAAGACACGUUAACUAUUACUUGUCUUGCACAAUAACAGCUUCUGUUUCAGUCCAAAAAGCAAAGGCCCCAGGUAAAAUUUGGUGAUUACAGCAACAUAUUUUACAUCAGUCCUAAAUUCUAUUUCAAACUGCCCAGCAGCAACAGAUACUAACAAUCGGAAGAUGAAACAAAAAAAAAAAAUUUUGCAUUUCCAAUGCCUCUAAUCAUCGGCAGCCUCCAUAUUUGCUCCUUUAAGAUGCAGGUGUUUUUCCCUCUUUUGAAACUCUGUCAAACCUUUCCCGCUUCCUGUUACACCAACUUUCCCAUUUGGGUCAUCUGGGGAUUUGAAUAUGCUCUCCCGCUUUCGGCCAGAGAAGAAACCAACCUGAGAAUUAAGUGAAAUUCGAGAAGGAAAUGAGUUAAAAGCGAGAUGAUCAAGCAAUGGGUGUAUAGGGUACAGGAAAUGCAUCUUUUAACGCACUAAUGCAUGUUUCACGAAUUCAUGACACUACAAGAGCCAGAUUCUUUGUGCAUCUACCUUCUUAGCCCGGCCCUUAGUUGUCUGAAAUUGCUGCCAAGCAUUUUGCCUCUUAUUCUGUGUCAUCUCAAGCUGCUCCAUUCGCAUCUUAGACUUAAAAGCAUGUAUCUUUUUCCGUUUAGCAGCUCUCUGUAAAGGGUGAAGAUAGUUAAAUGGGACAAUACAGUCAAUAAAUGGGAAAUGAAAUGCAAAACGUGAGAAUACAAUGUAAAGUAAUGUAAAUUGGCACAAUGUCAACCAGGAAAACAAAAAACUACAGAAAUAUUGGUGUAGCAGUUAUGAAAAGCCUGGAGACUUUUUGAAAGUAACCAUGAUGAACAUUAAUAAGAUAUUCUCCACUGCAGCUUUCACUAGUCACAUGAAUAUGUGUGGAGUUAACAUGUUAAAUGAGUCCUAGACAGAAAAUUUUCUUCAGAAUAAAACACAAUGAACAUUUUGACAACAAAAUUGGCUUAAGUAGAUCAUUGAUCAAAGAGAUGCCAAGACUUCAGUCAGGCAAAAACAUGAGGCCUAUUAUGGAAAGUCCAAAGAAGUUAGGAGUUCUCCAACAGAUCCUUAAGGGAACAUACCACAUCUUCGGGAUCAUCAGGCUCAAUCCGAAGUUUUGCUGGUAAACUUCGAGACUGAAAGUCAGUGGAAGCAGCCUGUGCAAUUUUCCUUUUGAGAGCUUCUUUCGUAGCCUGAGCUAACUUUUCUGCUUCAAGUAAGGGAUUAACAGUUGCAUCAUGAAUUGGUCGAACAUUGUCUGGAUCAACCUGGAAGCAUAAACUGUCAAUGACACAUAGUUCCACAAAUUAAGUAAAGCAGUCUGUAGCAAAUGACAGCAAGCAGCAAGACAAAUUCCCACAUCAAAGGGUUCACAAACUAACUGCAACUUAAGGCAAAAAAAACCCAACUAGCAUGGCAUGUCAUCUGCAUUACAUAGUAAAUAUAUAGCACACUUCCCUUGUCUUAAUCUUAUAAUCAAAUGCAAUAAGAACUCUCCCCUUAGCCAAAGCACCAUAUCUCAAAAGAUCUUAAAGUACCUAAUGGAGUUGGUCAAACUUCGGCCAAUCCUAAUUAUUCACUUAAUACAUUUCUUGCCUUCACAGGUGAAACCAGAAAAAAGGGUUUCUGGUCAAGUUGAUUUGUAUUGCAAAUGGGAAAAGGCAUACUUUCCUUGUUUUCUCGACCACACAUACACCCCUGUUCCCAUCUUACAUGUCAUUGUCAACGUUGAAUAUAGUUAGAGAAAAGUAAAACUUGAGAAAAACACAUCAGCUACUAAAGCAGCUCUUUCCAUUAUUGCCCCUCAAUUCUACUUCAUCAUUUUUUAGUUCAGUUUUGAAUUUUAAAAAGGCACAACAGCUACUAAAGCAGCUCUUUCCAUUAUUGCCCCUCAAUUUUACUUCAUAAUUUGUUAGUUGAGUUUCGGAGAGCAGUAUUUAAACGUUUCUUGUUGGAAAUAGUAAGAAGUGUACAAUAGGAAAGUUUUAAUUUAUUUCGAUUUUAAACCAUGACAAGUAAUUUGGACAAACCAAUAUAAAAAUCAAGACGUAUAAAAUGGGACAGAGUGCUACAUUAAGUAGAGGGUUGUGCAGAGAUUAUAGAAGUAAACCAUGAUAGUAGCUUAUAAUGUUUUUGGAGGUCACGAAUUCAAGAUAUCAAAAGCCUGCAAGAACCUUAUGGACUAGAAUGUCAUUCAAUACCAUACCACUAAAAACAUAAUGAUAAAUACACAGUUUAACCAUAUUAUUACCAGAAACUAACAAUUUGGAAAGAGCAAGAAAGGAAAGGAAGACAACAGAACCAAGUCAAAAAAGUUUAACGCAUAACGAAUACUAUAAAUCUUUGUAAGAUGAUUUACAAGUGUAUUCCAAGAAGACAACUCCAAGAUAAUAAAGCAGUCUGGAGAACAUACCUCUUCCUUGUUACCCCAACCAUCAUAAUAAACAUAAUACCCAUUUGGAGUAUGCGCCUCAAUUGUUGCUUCAUACCUGAACAUUCAGCUAAAUCAAACACAAGAAAAUGGUAAAGCAAAAGCAGGAAUGAAACAAAUAACAUCAUCAGAGUGCAAAAUUAGUUGAAGUAAUCUUACGAACCAUUCACCAUCUUCACUAAAGACAGCUUGAACUUUGGUGCCAACAGGAAACUUUGAGUAAUCCAACAUAGAUCCCGAUUCCUAAGUCAGAAGACACAAGCAAAUAAACCUUAAGUGGCACAUCAAUGCUAUGUCAACAUUCCACGUGCAAAUUCUAGAAAAGUAGUUGGCUGCAAAGCUCCAAAACUUUACAUAUAAAUAGCAGAUGCUUUUUGCGAACAUAGAGCACAACUCAAUAAAGUAGAAAUGUAGAGCAAGAGUGUCCAAGCUGUUAGACAUCUAAAUUAAGUCUAAAUAGGGCAUUAGAAGAUCUAAUCACCUGCUUCUGAGAUAAAAAAUUCCAUAACUGCUCAAAACCCCUCCCCCCCCCCAAUAACCGUGCUAUUUUAGUCUGUAACCAUGUCAUAUCAUUUUUGCAACCCAAUAUUCUUUAUCAACUUUUCAAAGUUAACUUUGUCAAUUCUGAUUUCCAAAACCCCCUUUUAACCUGGCAGAAUUUGUGCCAAAGACAAUUGGAGGGGAUAAUCAUGGAAUUUUCUCUCUUCAAAUUUUCUCAAAAUCCAAGGUAAAUGCAAAAUGGUGUAUUGGCACAAGGAAGUGAUAAUUACAAAAAAAAAAAAAAAAAGAACUAUGAGGGACUGGAUGGCAGAGCCAACUCAAAUGAGACAGCCUAUGGUAACCUUAGUGAUGAAAAGUCAACAAAACAAUCUUAACAUGCACUUACAUUUUACUAUGCGCCAUAGUUCAGGAAAUGCAGACUGAUCUAAUUUUGCAUAAUUAGAAAAGUUUCUCAUUGUUAUCCCAUCAAGUAUCUGGAAAGGCUAAAACGUCAUGCUUCCUUUUCAUAAAAAUUGUUAAGGUGUUCUAAUCCAAUUCAAAAGCCCGUAGUCUUCAAAUAAGCUGGGACUUUCUGACUUGGCCAAAUGCUAGUACUUAAAAACAGUCAAUAUAAUUGCACAAACAAUUUCUUUGAAAAGGUAGAUUUGAAUAAGAUGCUGGUAAUCAAAGACAACAUUUAUGUAUCCAUACAAAAAUACACUCUCUUGCUACCAUUUAGUGGACUUUCCUAUUGCUAAGCAAGACAGCACUUGCAUUGACAAUGCUGGAAAAUAUGAGUCAAAAAUUAAAAGAAACUUAUAGCGAAAAAUUUCAGGAAGAUGCCUUGAAUUAAAAUCAUGGAUUCAAUCAAAGCCCUUUAAUCCACCCUUAAGAAGCAGACACACUUCCUCACUCUUAAACCAAAGAGCAACUCUUAAAAAAGGGUGGUGGUGGUGGUGGCUUUUUUGUGUUUGGGGGGGGGGGGUGGUCAAGCUAAAAUUCAAGAGUGCAAAUUCAUAUUACACAUUAGAAGGGGAUCUACCACAUUAGAAAAAUCCGCAGCAUGCCGCAAACUGAGAGAUGCAUCACCACUAGCCCCAACACCCAAUCCUGAAUUUUCGUUUUGUCUUGCAGUUGCCAAGAGCUCUUCUGUCAAAGAAAUUACCUGCAAUCCAAGAAAAUUAGCCAGUCCAGACUUAGUUAAUCAGAUCAACUGUUUCUGCCAUAAAAUUUCAAAAUUAUUGUUAAGUUUCGAACUUAGAAUCACAGAUUGACAUCUGAAAUGACAUGUCAGAAGUAGGCCGGCCAUCAUGACUCAUAGCAAACCUGCAAUGGAAUGAAGACAAAAAUGAUGGAAAUCUUGAUAAAUUUUUUUACCCCAAAUUUUUGCAAAAAUGUGCUCUCUGCUCAUUCCAGGUGUCUGAAUUUCAUUUUAACCAAAAAUGCAAACUCACCUUCAGACCCCAUCAUACAGCAUCUCCAUCAGACUGCUUGUUCGAGCAAUAUAAUAAUUUCACAAAAAUAUGCUUGCAUGCACACUUGAAAGUAUUGCCCAUACAAAGCAAGAGAGAGAAAUGUAAUCAAGCUUUAGAUGAAAACAAAAAGAACCACAAUCGUAUUAUUAUUUUACAUGACUGGUGCUAUUAAUCAAGUGUCCUGAAAUAAAUGAUCAAACACCCACUCCACUUCUGCAUGACAAUCCUAUAAGCCAGAUGUCUUCACAAUUCAGAAAGUACAAAAGAAAUACAAAGGAGGAAAAGAUUCCAUUGGCAAGGUUACCUCUAAAAGCUCCUUCUCCAUGUCCAAAUAUUCAGAAUUUCCAGGCUCAUCAUCCAGGAGCUUGCGGACCUAGAAAAAAGUAACAAUUUCAUGACACUAUCAUUUUGAUGUGCAUUUCAUACACGAGAUAAUCAAACAAGUAUUACAUGUAGUGUAUGCUACUGAAUAUAACAGUUGGAAACUCAUGAAGAGAAUCAACAAAAACAUUUUUCUCCAAGUUUAGAACUAAAGCUCACUGAUUUUAGCAAACAUCAUGCCAAUUGAAGCUAUUGGCAUAAAAUCUACUCUGUUGACAAAUUUAUGCACAAGUAACAUACUCAGUAAAACUAGAAACUUUUAUAAAAUACCAGUUCAAAUCUCUUCAGUAUGUGGACAACCUUUUUCCUAUUGGUUUCCGCUUUCAGCACAUAUUCCAAUGAAAAGUCCUUUAAACACUCCCAACUAACACAGAGAAGAAGUUCGCAUUGUUUGAACAAGAAAAUUAGAAAACAUAUCCAGUAAACUAAUCUGCAAAAUCAGUGCCGUUAGUAAACGAUAAACAUAUACCUAAAUAUCUACGAAGUGCUCUCAAAUUAUCUAAUGCCAAAAAUGUAAUUUUAAGAAGCCCGUGAACUAGCAAUUUACAACAGUUCGAUCAAAUUAAAGAAACAAAAACCCUAAGUAAAACAACAAAUCAAAAUCACGAAAAUUCAAGAAGAAAACUCGAAAAUAACUUUGAUAGUACCUGUUGAAGCUGUUCCUUAUACGUGGAGAGAUUCGAAGCGAGUUCUUGGACGCUCACCUCCUCACUUCCGCUUUCCAUCUUUUUUUUUUUUUGUAUGUUUGGUUUUCCUGGAUUUACCUCCGAAAUUUAAUCAGUUAUUGAAGAGCUACUUAUCAGAUUAUUCAGAAAUUUAAUUGAAUUUAAAGAGACGGUGCGCAUGAGAGACGACAGAAAGCCUUGGGGUUGAGGUAAUUUGUUUGUUUGAGGGAAAGGGACGAGAGAAACCGGUGAAGGUUUUCUACUUUUUUGUUUUAUGUAUAUUGUUGUAUAUUGCAGAUGAGGAUAAUUACAGCCACAGUUUUCUUUAAUUUCCAAAGAGGUACCUAAAUGCUUUGAAUUUCUCAGGUUCGCCCCUGUGUAAAUAAAUGGUGAUUGGCGGCCCUUCACAAUUUUCUCUGUCAAAAAACUGAAGGCCCAAGUCCCAGUCCAAAGUGGUAACAUCAGGCCUUUUAUGCCGGUUCACAAAUAACAAGAUAAGACAGCUAUUGGGCCUUGCUUGGUCCGAUGGACAGGAAGAGACUCUUUAAAGUUCCUAGAGUUCUCGUGUGUGUGUGUGUGCGUGCGUGUCUCAAAUUCAACCCCAUCUAAUCUAGUGCAUCACAAGCAAGCAUCAUGCAUCCUUUAAUAUAAAAAACUCAUACAAGUGCUCCCCCAUACAAAAUACUCAUAAUUUUGGACUCUCCUCUGAUACGCCCGCGUGGUCUAAUAGUUUACCCCCAAAUACUCUUGGAUUCCUUUUCCCCCCCCCCCAUAGCAUAGAUUAGCAUAGGGUUCGUUUGGUUCGAAUUGGUUAAAGCCGCUAAAUAUCGAAUUGAAUUUGGAAGCAAAACGAAAGAAUUGAAAUGACUUGGAAUUCCAGUUCAUAGAAUUCCAAUUCUAUAGAAUUUCAAUUCUAAUUCUGUAGAACCAAACGUACCCUAAGAGUAAUUUAGAUUGUUAAAGAGUUCGGCACAUCACCAACUCAACUGGUAGAAAUAUUAGAGUAAUGUAAAUUUAUUUUUAAAUCAUUUUCCUCGUAGAGCAAAGAAGAGCCGGCGAAGAGUCACCGUUGAAUACAGAAAAAAUAUAGAAAAACAAAAGGCAUUGCUGCCGGCUGAGGAAAAGGUUAUUUCAGCUUAAAAGUUCUUUUUUAAAUGCAUAGUUGAUGUACUUGGCUACUCGGCAACUGUUUAAGUCUCUAAAAGCAGUCCAAAUGUUUGGCAUUACAAACUAAUAAUUGUCCAUGCUAACGCAGGAGAGGAUAAGAAUUUGAAGAAACAAUACAUGUUGCAUAUGCCACCAAGACGCAAUGGAUCACAUGUCACUAAGAACUGACAAACCAGACUUCAAAAAUUCCAAUAGAGCGUGGGGGCAGUGACUGACGUGUGAAUAGCGUCAAAAUUCCGAGUCUUCAAAUUCUGUUUCUAGGUUGAAUGGCUGAUGCAAUCUAAUCAAAUCAGAUGCCGGAGAUCUGGGUCGUGCGAGGAGUCCCUAUGUGGGAGAUCUUACUGAGCCAACGUGGUAGCGCUGACACAGACUCGAGGGAAAAGCAAAUGAUCCUCACAUAACUCAACCAAAAUUUCGUAAUACGCCAAGGAUUAACAGCGGCCAAUUUUUCCUGUGCUCGGAAGUCAGGUUUCUGGGGGCAAAUUUCUUGCUAAAACUAGCAACCCAGCUGAAUUUUACAACAAUUUAGGGGUUGGAAGGGGAAAGUGAUAACCUAGUGCACAGAUAACUGGGGGGAAAACCCAAUAAAGAAGAAAAUGUAAAGCAGCGAAAGAAUGGGAAAACUAGGACUAUGACUAUACAAUGCCAACCAAAUCAGCCUUCCCCAAAAAGGAGUGAAUUGCACCAUACCAUUCUCCACAAACCCCAUCUAGCUUGUAUUCUGAACCCAUCAAUAUUCCAACGGUAUAACUUGUAAAAGGCUCUCCCGGAGAAAUCAAGCAACGAUCAUUUUCUUCACUUCAGCAUGAACCUCAGAGGUGGGUUUAAAAAAUUCUCACUCGUUUCGAAUAGAACAAUAAUUGUCCCAUAGUGUUUGAGAUUUUCCAAUUUCAUUCAUGAGAUUUUUGAACUUGUGGCUGCAGUCUCCUCCACUGCAAAACAAAAGACAAAGUAACACGAAUCAAAAGCUAAUAAUUUAAAUUUAUAGGAAAGAGGAGAACAUCCAUAAAAACUGGCAUUCCCAUUAUUGCUUUGACAGGAACUGCCAUUGUCAUUAUUGCUUGACAGGAAACAUGAGACCAUUAGAACGCCAGAAGCUCAUGCACAGAAGCACUGAAAGUUUGGCAAGGCACUAAGUGUAGCUUGCUUCAAAAGUGUGAAGCGAAACAGUUCUAAGAAGCAAAGCGUGGGGUAUGAAAGGCACACUCUAAUGAGCCAAAGGUGGGUUGUAAGACGAGCUAUUUGCAUGCAGCUAGAUGAAGCUCGAAGUACUUUGCAACGUCAGGCAUAAUAGCUAUGUCAUUCAUUCCAUCACAAGUAUUACUGACCUCCGCCUAAAACUAAAAAUUUAGAUGGCCACCAAGCAAUGGAAAUGAUCAAGCGCAUUAUUACAAACAAAAAGUCAACCAUUUGUUUACUUUGAUAAAUUUUGCUAGCAAAGUGAUACAAAUAACAUACAUAUAUAUACAAAACUUGGCUUCCAGUCAUACUUCAUUGUCAUAAAAGAUAUCUAUCUACUCAAAUUUCAAGCUGAUAAACCAGAAAAGCCAAACUCCUCUCUUACAAGAUAUUCUAAUAACUGCCAACGCAAGAUACUGGCCCCAGCCACAAUUCAUCUACUUUUUGAGACAAAAUUUUAAAAAGAAAAAUGAAAUGACAAGUUCCAAGGAGGACAAACCCAGGCGCUUGCUUGUGUUAAUUUAAGAAAGUCAAUCAAGUAAGCUAAAGUUGUGAAGGAAACGAAAAGAACAAUUAUCUGUGUGAAACUCCCAAAUAAGGGGGAAGGGGAAAAAAAUAAACAUACCUUAUGCGGUUCAAUGAUGCAAUUGCUCGAAGGGCACUCCUAACCAUGUCUUCAUUACGAUCAACUUCUUGCUUGACUGCAUCCUGUUUUGGCCUGAAACUAACAGUUUUUUGCAAGGGAUCCACCAAAGAAUCCAAAACUGGAAGCCAACAGAGUUAGUUGAUGAAUAAAAAAAUAAUCAGCUAAAAGAUCAACAAUCAAUAUUCAGAUUGAAAUACCUGCUAAUACGGCAGAGGGGCACUUAUCCGCAAGUUUUGAGAGGAUAAGAUGACAAGGCAUUUUAACAUCAUAAUGAUCUAUGAAGCCCAAAAACCACAAUUAAUUUAGUGAAAGACAAGCAGAAUAAGGAUCAGAACAAUGCUUGAUACACACAACAAAGGCAAUGAGAUACAGUGCCUAAGAGUUGAAAAAGGCAAGCAUAAGAUGCUAAAUUUCAGAAAAUAACUUACCUUCCAAACCAGAUUUGAGGUAAGGAACAAUAAAAGAUGAUGGAUUCACUUGAUCAAGACAACUGUCCAACAAAGUGUCAACACAUUCAAAAGCUGCUUUUCUCAAUUCAAGCCCAUCAUCUACUGUGUGCUUGAAGGGACCCAGAUCAACUGUUCUAAUCAGUUCUUGCUGCCAACAAAGAGGAGAAACAAGUUAACAUAAAUUAUUCUCAACUCAUAAAAGAAAUUAAAAAUUUGGUGAUGUCUAAUGCCCACUCAAGUUAAAAUAGCUUUAUAAAAAGGUUCCUAAUUAGAUUUGCUAUCAAGAUCAACUGUUAAAGACUUUCUGCUUUACAAGAUAAUGUACCAAUUAGCCACAGAAAUGGGUUUUGAUUUAUCCAAUGCAACUCUGCAGAUGCCAAAGUUAUGUGUGCACACUUAUGAGUCAACUAUAAGGGCAAUUGAUAAAUUUCACAAACUGUCAGCAGAACAAUUAUGAACUUACAAACAGCAACCUUUACCCUCCCUUCCUCUGAAAAAAGAUUCCACAGAUUCCAAGGUAUAGAUAGUCAAAACUUGUAACAAAGACAAGUUCAGGAACUGAAAAACAUGGGUAAUCCAGCACAUGACAUGCAACACUAGCUUUAACCAGCGCAACAUAGAGUAGAACUAUGGAGUCAUGCAUUAAGUGGUGUACAAGCCUAUGCUUCAUUUUUCUCAUAUUUUGCACGUAGACGUUAAAGUUUACCUUUUAUAUAUGAAGAAUGGGGGGUUUAGCGUUUUGCCUUCUUUUCGCCACAUGGCUUUCUGUUGAUGCAACAAGUGGUACAUCUGUAUAUUCAGAACAAUGAUAUCCUUCAUUGCUUUUGUUGGUCUUUGUUAAUGGGCCCAAUGAACUCAAAAGAUUUCAGCCUAACGAAUAAAUUGUAUUGUCAUAUUAUAACUGUUUGGCCCUUAACGGUGGCCUUUACCCAAAAGAAAGGAAACAAAGAAUGUGACCUUUAUUUAGUUCUUUGAGGCCCAAAGGGUUAAUCUUAACUUAAUUAACUUAUAAUUAAUUUACUUAUUAUCUGGUUGGGUGGAUGUGCUGUCUAAACCAUGACUCUUAGAUUAGGCUUAAUGGACUAAUAAUAGAUUUCAACCCUGAGAUAAUUUUCAAUUAAACUCUAAUUACAAUUUCGCUAUUGUUACUUACAAUAACAUUUCUUGCACAUUGCUAUUCUUGCCAUUGCACAUCGUUUUUUUUUCCCUUUUGCCUUUUAUUCAUGCCAAGUCAAAUAAGUCUAGCCCUUAUGUUUAUGGGUGCUCAUUGGCCAAUAAUCGGGAAUUCGGUAAAAAAAAUUUGGUAAUUCGAAAAUUGAUUUUUUAAGACCAAUAUCCGAUCACCGUCCAAACCUUAGUUUGAUAAAUUGGAUCAAAGAACCGGUAAUUCGGUAAUAUCCGAAAUAUCGAUAGUCAGUUAAAAUAUUUUAAUUUUCUCUAAAAAAAAUUGUUAUAACAAAAUAAUAUCUUAUAUGUUUUUCCAAUAAAAUUCAAUCAACUCAAACAAACAUGAUAUUAAAAAAAAACCGUUCAUAAUUCUAAGCCCUAACUUAUAAUUUCAAUUCUUAAACAACAUUGAAAUAUAUAAGAACUUCAAAUUUAAUUGUUAAGCUAAACUCCAACGUAUCAACUUCCAUUAAAAUUUAACGUCCAAAUACAGUUAUAGUUAAGUUAACUAAUUAGUAUUUAGUGAUAGGGGUAAGAUUUACUCUUAUUUUUAGUAAUAUACAUAAGUGGGCAUAUAUUCUCCUUUGACUCCUAUUGAUUUUAUGCAAAAGUAUGGUUUACUUAAUUGUUCUUGAAAUUUUAAGAUGGCAUGGGCUGUGCUUUACAUAAACAAGGACUUAGACCUUAACUACCAGUUUAACUGGCCAUUCAUUACCAUCAAUUCAAUCACACAAAUAAACAGUAAAACUUAGAUUGCCAGCAUUAAAUAGACUAAAGUCAAAAGAGAUGCUACUAUCCAACCAAAUCCUCCCAACACUCGCGCUCCAGAGAAAUAAAAUUGGGUAACUUUCAACUGGUUCCUUUCUCCACCUUUAACAAACUCCAAAGAAUUAGAAUUCAAUAACCGUGUACAUUUACUUGCCUUAAUUAUCGUCUGGUCAUAUAGUAGUGGCAAAAGUUCAGGUAAAAGACCCUUUAUCAAGUUUGGCUUAUUAUGGGCUGCUGUAUUCAAGGCCAAAACAGCUGCACGCCUAACAUGCUGCACAACAGUUAGAGAGGAUAAGAUCAAUGAAACAACCCAAGGGGAAAAAAAUAUAGAAAGCUAGAGUAUCUCCCCCCCCCCCAAAACACCCCCAAAAAAACCAGAGAGAGAGAGAGAGAGAGAGAAGAAGGAACGUAGGCCAAUCAAGUCUACCUCAAAUUAAAGUCCAUGUUAGCUUACUCUGGAUACUUUUAGACCAGAAGGGUCAAAACAUAGCAUGAAAUGAUUAAAUGAAAUUUCCAUCAGAAAACAGAAGAUCUAAAGCUAUUCUCACAUAAUAUAUACCAUCCUGGGAACAGAAUUUUGAUGGUCUAAACUGACGGUCUAAACUACAAUAAAUUCAGUACCAUCAGUUCUGAACAAACUGUUUUCACGAUAAACUAAUAUACCCAUAUCAAAAACCAUUCAGGUUAUAAGACCGGUCAGCAAAGGACUGCAGCAGCAGGUAGUGAUCAGCUAGUUGGAGUAACCAUUGAGUCUAAAUAAAAGUACAAAGAAAAGGGAGAGCAAUUUGAUUAAAAAUUGGCAAUCACUAAUUGAGAAUAUAAUUAUCAUCUUCUGCAGUGCAAUAAAGCAACAGAAAAGGGACUUAUCACCUUUAAACAUUCAAGUUGAAAUUACAUAAAAUUAAGUUGAGCAUUCAUGUAUCAUGUACAGCAAAAGAAGCCAAAUACAAAAGAUCUCCAAACCAUUAUAAGCAGAACUGGAAAGCUUAAGACAUCAUAAGCGAUAAUAUAUACAACUUUGCAUAUUGAAAGGGAAAUUACCCGAUCUUGAUCCUUUAUGAGCAUCAGGAAAGAUGAAAUUUCAGACUGCAGAAUUGCAUCUAUCUUCCCUGGACGCUCAACUAUAGCAUAUUUUACGCCAAUGACAACCGUUGCUCGGGUAAAUGCAGCUGGAUAAGUGGUACGGUCCUAAAGAAAGGAAAAACAUGUUGAUUGUUGGGCUGUUAUCAAUUGUACAAAAGAAACUGUGCUAGCCAUAUAAAAAGAGAUCAACGAAGCAUUAUUGUGUGUAGCGCUACCUUGAGAGCAGGAACAAGUUUUUGGGGUUCAAUGAGGGCAAUUUUUCCCAGACACUCAGCUACAACAUUGCGAACACCCUCUUCCUCACUUUCACAGUGGUUAAAGAGCAGAUUAAGUAUCUUCUCAACACUUGAUUCCUGAAAGUCUGAUCUGUCCACUGACUGUCUUACAAUGACCUUAAGGAAGGAUUCAUUUCACAAGUUUUAGAAAAUAAUAAAAGAUCAAGCAAUUAAAAAGAAUAUCAUGAGAGAACUCCAUAUCAAUGGCAUACCUCCUUCAAUGAGUGUAAUAGUAGAUAUUGUUUCUUCUGUUGAUUAUCAAUCUUGUCCAAGAUAAAUGGCAGAUAUUUUUGUAGAUUACCAACAGCAAUAUUCCCAAGAGCAUAAGAGGCAGCUGAUUUGAUCUCUUCAAAAGGAGAUUGGAAUGAUUCAAUGAUAAUACUCUCGAUCUGAACAUGUGAGCUUAGAUCCUUUCUCCUCCCAAUCUCUCCCAAGCAAAGCAACGCAAGAUGUUGUUUGGCCUAGAAAAAUGGAAAAUAAAACAAUAUCACAAAAUGAUAACAAAGGAAGAGGAGCUCAAAAAAAAAUAUAUAUAUAUAUAUAUAUAUGUUAAAUUGCCACUCUCAUACUAGAUUCAGCUUAUCACAAAGCUUAAAACACACGUAAUUCCCAACUUACCACCAAAAAGUACAAAUAAAUAAAUUCCACUUGUGUUAAAAGACACACACAAUGUGCAUGCAAUUUAGAAAUAAUUAUUAUUUUCCAUGAAUAUAUAUAUUUUGUUUUUACACAAAUAAAUUUUAUAUAAAUUAUUUAUUAACAAACUUCAAGUUAUGAUAAUAAAUAAUUUUGGUGGUUACAAUAUUUACAGUAGUUAUGAGUGCAAUGUUGGCAAAUGUGAUUAGGGUACAAGUUAGUUUUUCUUAGGAUAAAAUUGGAAGGUCAAAAAACGACAAAAAUGUUUACACCAACUGCCAUUGCUCUCCCUUUAUAUAGUGUAUAGAUAUGCAGACCGACGCAUGCAUGAUAAUGUAAACCACAGAUGGAAGCCCUUCAAGGUGGCACUUGAGUGCAAAGCUAUACAAGUAACAAAUGUCUGCAAUCUAUGUAGAAACCACUUUCAAUUUCUUAGCAGAUACAACAAUAUCAUGCCUAAUUGCAAGCACUUAGCAUUCUAGCAAAACCUUCUCUAAAGCACCUAGCAUCAGCUAAAUUCGGUGAACAAUAAUAUGAGACCAAUAAAAACAUAUAAACCUUUAAGAAUAGCAUGAAGGUUAUCAGAAACAAAUUCAGCUAAAAACUACUUUUCACCGCAAGAUAAACUUUUCCAAGAACAUUGAGAUAUGAUAUGAAUAGCUUUAUCACUUGUAAUUUUUAUAUGAUAUUAAUCUAAGCAAGCAAAAAUCAUAUGGAAAAUAAGGCAUAAAAGUUUUUCUAGUCUAGGCUAGGCUUACCGAACUUGUGCUGCUGUCAUCUUUCAAAAUGUCCGUCAGCAUGUUAACGGUAGAUGAACAUUUCUUAUCACCUGCAGCAAGGCAAAGAACGGCUACACACUGAGCAAUGGAAAAUAAAGCCUGCUUUGCAACACCACCAGCCUGUGGAGAUGGUUUGGCAGUUGAAAGAAGAGAUUCCAGUAAUGCAUCAAAGCUUGUAUUUGCUGAGGAAACCAAUGCAGCAAAAAAAUUCCGCAAAGCCUGCAGGUUUGAUAAAAAGAAAGUUAAUGCAAAGAAGACUGCUGUACAUCAACCAUUUUAUAGAGUACAAAAUGUGCAACGUACAAGAAGUGCCUGUCCCUGAAGCAAGGAGCUUUUCACCAAAGUUAAUGCUUGAGGAAGAACUUUAUUUCUGACAGUCAAACCCACAUUAGGGGUUGAUCUGCUGUCAGACAUUAAGGUACAACAAAGUUCCAGGGCUAGUGCUGUCAUAUGCAAGUCGAAGUCACUGGAGUUCAAGAAAAGCACCAUCAGAACUUUUUCAUUAAUUAGCCCAUGACAUUGAAAACUCAUAAACAGAUACAUAGGUACAAAAUGCAGUUUAACACAAAAUACUAGCAAGAAACCUUAUCAAAGUAGAGAGUUCUAUGACAAUGACUUCGCAAGCAGCUGAACCGAUUUUAUCACCAUAAGCAACUAUCAGGGUGUUUAAAGUCCCAAGUGUUGCCUGUCUUAGUGCGCGAUUGGCCUAUCCAUAAGCAAGUAAAGGAGAUCAGACAUUUCUUCAAAGGUAUUAUAUCAUCUUGAUUAAAAAAAAUGGAAAAGACAAAAUUACUUGUUAAAUGACAAAUUUUCUCACCUUUCUUAAGAAUGCGGUCAACUCUGAAAUUACAUGCUCUAAAACACAAGAUAGGUCAAGAUGCAGUGGAGAAGCAGCAAUGACAGCAAAUGCCUGGAGAGACAAUACAUUAAAGCUUCUACACAUGUAAAAGUAGUUAAGCAGUAAGUUCUGAAAGUAUCCAAUGUCUAACACUAUUACUACUAUGUCAACAUAGUGAGAGGAAAAAUAUUACCACCCACUAUCAACUCUUCUCCACUUGCCAAUAACAAGAAUACAAAAAAUAGAAGAGAAGAUAGGGCUACCAUACCACCAGCAAUAACAUUUUUCUGCAAGAUUUCAGGAAAGGAUGGGCAAUGUAAAAGAAAAUGACACAACAAUGUCAAAAUUUAGAUCUGCAGAGGUAAAAUUAUGAACCUAAAAGCCAAAUUUUCUCUGCCACUAAGACAUAACAGGAAUUCCACAAAUCAAUAUUAUAUAGAUUAAAUGGUUGACAAAUCAUCAACUAAACUCUUGACUACAGAAACAUGCCACCAUUAGAUGGUAACAAGAUGACCAAGAAAUAGUUUAUCAUGAUAGUGGAAAAAGCAUUUACAACAGAAAUGUGAUGCAGCUAUUCUCCAAUUCAAAAUCAUGGGGGAAAAGUGGUUGGAUAAUCUCUAAAAUCAGUUGCCACUUUACUUCAAUCAAAUAUCAAGCCAACAAGACAAAAAAAAUGAGGGGAGUCAUAAGAAGCCUAAUGACAGCCACUCAACAACAGUUUUAUCAUUGAAAAAAAAAAUCAUUAUCAAGUACCCAUACCAACUUUCGUAAGAGGUUCUUUUCUAGUCAAUGUAUUCUAGAAACUAAACCAACCUUCACAGCAGUUAGCCGAGUUAUCUCAUUCCCCAUUCGAUCCACAAGCACAGGAAGGCAUGCUGGUAACUCCCCUCUGAGAUAAUCACCAAACGUUGAAACAACAAGCCCCAUACAUGUAAUGGCACUUUCCUUAACCUCCUGCAAAGGAAGAAUGAUGAGACACUCCAAAGUUGUAUUGAGCUGGAAGAAAGAAAAUUAUGGAUACAAAUGUUGCAAACCUGAUCCUGAUCUUGAUUUGCCAAACGGGCCAUGAUAGCAUUAUAUAUUGGAUGAACAUAGGGUUUGAAAUCAAAACCAGAACCCUGAAAAGGGUAUCCCAUUAGCAUCUGACAAAGUAACCCGAAAUAAGAGAUGCACGAAGUAGACACAAUCUAACCUCAAUAUUUGGCCUCACAACACGAACAAGUUCUCCACAUACUCUAAGUGCUUCAGCUGUAACUUUAUAGUAUCGCUCACCCACAGCGGAUAUAACAGGAGCUGAUAUGGCCUGAAAAUAAAAUGGGGAAGCCAGAACCAAACUUUUUGGGACGUCAACGGUUCAACUAGAGGAUAUCAUACAUGGUAUAAUGCAUCUCUAAGAAUUAUAAAACAUGAAAAGAACAUUAUAAACAUAUAAACAUUUUUUAUUCAUUAAAAAAAAGAGCAAUGAACCCAGAAUUGUCCAUCUCAUCUUCAUUCAGUAUUUUUUUCAUUUCUCUUUAACCUCAGAAAAGGUUUCUAUUGCAAAGAAGCUUAUAUAAUACAAUACAAGACCAUCAUUGAUUUCCUCUUAGAGGUUUUUAAUUAUUAAAAUUAACUGUACAUAAGAAAAUAAACAACAUUUACUUCAUGUCAUACACGUCAACUGCUUCUGCAAUUUCACCGUCAUUGAUUUGCUCUUAGAGGUUUUUAAUUAUGAAAAUUGACUGCACAUAAGAAAAUAACCAAAAAAAUUACAUUUACUUCAAGUCAUACACAUCAACCGCUUCUGCAAUUUCUUUCCCUUUCUCACUUCUAGGCAAAUGAAAACAAAUGAGAGGAGCAUGUAACACUUUUGCCAGUCAUUCGGUGUAUAGCUAUACAAGCUAAAGCUUUUCUAGAUAUAAUCUAGAAAACUAAUCUAAAAAUGAGUAAAAUGGUAAAUUAACACAACCAACAUCGAAGAGAACCUUAUUCUAAGUACCUGACAUGUUGGAAGACAUAAUAAUACUUACCAUAUCCACAAACUAAAAGGUAUGUCUCAAUCUUUCAGUAAAUGUACAAGCUUGUAGUUCUGGAUUAGUUUCAGGGGUAUAAGCUGGAGAGUUCCAAUGUGUUUCCAUUUUUCCUUGAUAUAUCACAUGUAUAAGCUACAAUAUCUCGUGCAACCCAAAGCAGGAAACAAGAGUCAAGAAAAAAUGGCUCAGUGGAUUUGGGCAACCAAAAAGAAAUGACCUAACAUCACUCCUUACAGGAAUGUGAUAUUAAACAAUGAAAACCAGCCAACAUUUUAAACAGCAAGGAUGAAGAAUGCAUCUGAUUGCUUAAAAUGUUAUUAAAGUACUUGAUUGCACAACACUUGACGAACAAUUUGACAUUCUUGAAAAGUUUAGAAGGUAGAAUGAGUUAUAAGACAAUACCUUAAUAUAAGGAUGGAAAACAGGAGGUGCAUGAGAAGCCAAAAUUAAUCUUGUAAAAGUAAGAGCUUCAAUCUUCAAAUUUGAAGUAGAGGACUUAUCCUGAUAAAUUUUUGAAAAAAUUUAAAAAACCAGUAAAAUACCAGAUUAGUUUUUUAUAAACAACAUCAAGAUAAUAAGAAUUUUGUUUCACAUAUGAAUAAAUAAAACUCACACAUAAUGCUUUCUCAAAUCCAGGUAUAAGAGAUCCAAUGUGCUCAGCAAGGCAAUCAGGCAAGACCACCACCAGUUCUUUCAAAACUGAAAAUGCACCAACCUGCAGAGGAAACACUAUAAGAAAGUCGUAGAACAAAAAAUGAACCUUUAUCACUUCAGAUGAUAACACUUGGAGACAAAAUAAAACAAGUCCCUGAAUCAAGACAAAUAUAACAGCACAACUGUAAGGUUAUAGAAGUCAACCUUUGUUUUGACAGAUUUCUCUCUUAAUUGCCUAUUGAUGGACCGAACAAUUUUAGGCACUUCUUGCUUCAAUAACCAUCUAGGACUGCAAGAUACAUCGUUAAAAUAGAGAAAAACCCAACAUUGAGCAGAAAACAGCUGAAUGCCACAACAAAUUGGUCAUAAUCACAAUCAGCAGGGAAGCUUUAGACUACUUCGGUAUUGAUGGGAGAUGCAACACAACAAACAGCAAAAUCCAAAGAUAAGGAUUUUCCACAAAUGUGGCUAGAUACAUCUUGUUGCUUUCUAAAGUGAAAAUUUGAACAGAAAAGUGCCAACACCAGCACAGUAAAAGCAUGCAAAAACAAGGUGAAAAAAAAUUAAUAAACCUAACCGCACCCGGUACGAAACUUGCCCAUAUAUCUCUUCAACUAUUGUCAAUGCACCAGAUGCACUAGACAGAAGCAAAUUGAGAAUAUCAUAGAGAACAGAUUUCAAUCCAUGGAUGCAUGGCAAUGAUAAGCUGUAAGAAAUUACUUGUUAUCAUUUUCUAUUUAACAAAUUAACCCCCUCAACACCCCCCCCUCCAACAAAAGAAAAAAAAAAGAGAAAAGCAAUAGAAGCUAUCUAUACAAAUUGAUACAAGAUUAUCUCCAGCAAUAACUAGAACUCACAAGGUCCCAAGCUUUACAGGUCAGCAGUUUAACUAGGUAAUAAGAAAAUCUUGCCUUGAUUCUUCAAACUCCAUCUGCCCUUUCGUAACAUUUCCAGUUUGUCGCAGCAACGCAAUGAAAGUAUUGAACACAUCCAUCUGUGAAAAAGAUAAUCAGAUGCUUUACAACAGGAAGAUUUAAAUUUGAAAUCCAAAACAUUCAGUGGCAUUACCUUGACAUUUUCUUCCCUUUCCUUAAAUCGGUCAAUUAAUUUUGGACAAGCCUGCACAAGAAAUAAACUUGAACUGUAAAAGUAAUAAAUGCAAUGCAUGAAUUCAUUUCAUUUACAUGCAUUUAACCAGCAGCAAAAGUUUAUCACCCUUUCCAAGGAAAAGAUAAAUCCUCCAUCAAUUGUCAGCAUGAAAUCCCUAAUUAUGUGACAAUCAAAACUGACACGGAAAUUGAAAACCUGCAAACAAAAAGCUGAGACAGCCUUUCUUGGUAUAUGCAAAUUGGUUUUAGAAUAGCUUAAUAUACCUUAAGACUGUAGAUAUUGUAACUCAUUACUUCUUAAUGUUGACCUAAACGCUUUUUCAACAGUUAAUCAUGAAAAUUAAAAGGAUGACUAACUUAUUCUCUAUUGUCAUGUAAACCCUUUUUUUUUGUUUGAGGUGGUGGGGUGUGUGUGUGUGUGUGUGGGGGUGGGGGGGGGGGGGAAGGGAACCACUGGACAAAAGAACUUUUGGUAAAAUGGGAUCCAACCUAAUCUUUCACAUAUUGAAAGCAAAGUAAUUUCACAAUAAUGUCAAAGCAAUAAUGUUCAUGGAAGAAAUAGAAGAGUACGAAAAAUCAGAGUUGCCCCUUAUGUACCUCUUCAUAUAGCUUUCCAAGCAGCUCAGGGCGAGAAACAAUUAGUCCCGCCAAGCACUUGGCUGCAGCCCUACGGACUUUCCAGCUCACAUCUUCGUCAUCCGUAUACUCAUUUUCACUCUCACUAAUAUACAAUAAAAAAUGGGAAGUCAGCUGAAACUCUAUAAUAGACAGAUCAAUACAGGAAUAAGCAAACCAAUAUUAACUGAGAACAUACUCAUCUUCUUCCUCCUCAUGACUUUCAUCAUCAGUAUCUUCCUCCAUGUUAUCAGUGAAAUUUGGAUCAUAACUAAGAAACUCCAAUGUAAGGUGGAGAAUUUCAUCACAGUAAGAAGAAAUAUCUCUAGGGCACCUUAGUAAAAAACUCUCCAAUGCCUAGGAACAAUAAUUCAAUAUCUUAGAGUGCAUUAAAGCAGAGAAGCCAAUACAUAAUGUUAACAAAGGGAAAAAAACUCUAAUUAACAAAUGAAAUACCUGCAAGCUAUAUUCACGAAGCUCCUCAUCAUUCUCUGAUGCACUUGUGCAAUAGUUUAUUAGAACUGGAACAGUAUCUCCAAGGUGGGGACCAAAACGAUAGCCAACAGCUCGGCUAGAGAUAAAAGGUUCAUGAUCAGUCAAAUCAGGAUUUCUCAUUGAAUAAAUACAGAAAAGACAAUAAUGAGACACCAAGAAAAAGCUAUAGAAAUGUUGAACAAUCUCAUGAGCCCGUACAAAGCAUCAUAGAGAGAAAAACUAUUCUCAAAUGCUAUUGCAAUCAGACUAGCAACACGUCAACCUCGUUCGGAGGCUUUUUAACCAUGCUCCUUUCAUGAUGCAAAAUCUUACACACAACUUUAACCCAUGUUUCCUGGCUUACAGAAAAUACAACAUAAAAUAAAUUCUAUUAUGUAUUUUGAUGAAUUUUAAAGGAUAGCAUGAGAAAGAGUAACCAAGGCAGAAUACAAAUGUUCAUCUCAAUGAGACCAAAGUUGGGAAAUGUUUCUUCUCCCAUGAAUUGAAAUAUUGCAUUUUUCAUUUCUUAUUUUCAGCUAGUAUAUACUCAUUUUGUACUUUGAAAAAAUAACCUUUAUUAAUCAAAGACAUAGCUCUGACUAAGAAUACGUGGGGUCAGAAAUUAGUUUUCCUUUCCCUCACACAACUUGAUAAGUCAAUAAAAAUCUUUCAAUACCUACAGGCAAAAUUAUGUCAUCCACAUCCAACAAGUGGACUGACUGCAAUAAAAGUUUAGAUCCAAAAGGAAAGCCUCCAAAUGUGAGUAAAAUUAAGAAGCAUGAAAGCCACAUCUAAAAACAAACCUUAAGGCCCCGCUCAUCUGAAUGUUUGUUCGUGCCAUUUCAGAUUUUGAAGCCCUAUUUUUCAAAAGCCGAACAACUUCGCCAGUAGCUUUUGCCAGCAAGUCAUCUGACAAGCUUGAAGCCAAAGAUGCUGAAGGAAGACACAGAUCACAAUCAGAAUACUCCAUCAAAAGUCUCAUGGGGAUUUUCUUACCAAUCAAAGAAUCAUUUACAGAACAUGCAAACUCCUCAAUUUGAGUAUAUUUGUGCUUACCAAUACAUGAGACAGUCUUCUUCCUAACUGUGGCUUGAUUGGAACUUAACUGAGGUAGUAAUGCAGCUAACAGUGGCUCAUGGUCUGAAGCCAUCAAAUUCCCAUAUUUGUGAAGAACAUCACAUAAAAUGUCAAGACAUUCACAUUUUAUUUCUGUGCUCAUUCCCUGGACAAGCAAAUAAAGGAUAUAACAAUAAUGGGAAAAAGAAAAAGAAUUUAUAAGUAGAAGGCAUUCCAUGCAAGUCAAUAUAUGAGUGUACAGUCCAUUUUCAUUUGAAAAAGAAAAUUACAAAUGCAAGAAGAGAAGGACAGAGCAGUAAAGGAUAUAGGGGACAAGUGAAUUCAGCCCUUUCUUGACCACUAGGUCCACAUUUUAAUGUAUUUAUUUCGCAACAAAGUAGCUAAUUAUAUUAAUUUCAAGAAAAUCUCUUCCAAAGAGUUUAACUUGACUGCAAUAUCCGUAGACAACCAAAAUGUUUAACUUGAGAGUGAAACCAAAACGGUAGAAAGAGGAAAUGUGCACUCUUGCUCAUUCAAGGUAAAAUGAGGUGCCAUUCAACAACUUCUAUAACACAAACAGGAAUUAUCUCUCUCAAUGCAUGGAAAACAUGACUCACAAAUCAAGAAAAUUCAGUUUGUUCUUGAAUCUGGAAGUCAAGGAAGUGAAGUAGCUCCCAUUUUGCUAAAUUCAGAGCAAGAUUUUGAGUGACUUAGAAAUACUAUUCCACAUUGAAGUUGGUCACUGGUUUGAAGCCAAUUAUGCAAAAUAAAUAAAUACAUAUCCAGGAUAUCACUUUGAUUUAGAACUGUACUAUUGUUUACCAAAUAAUACAUGACAAGUGCAUUAAUCUUCACAGAUCCUGAUUAAAAGUUUAAAGAAAAACAUCUAUGAUUUUGGAACAAUCUGUUCUCAGAAACUUACAGUGCCAGUGAUCCCUUGAAUCAACUUCGGAGUAAUGGACACAAGAACAGACUGUGCAACAGAAAGUGAAGGAACUUCGGCAACAAUUGUCUUCAUAGCUAUGCUAGCAAUAUCACGAUGCUGGUCUUUUAAAUUAAGCAGCUUAUCACAAAGCUUAUUAGUCAUAUCCAACACUUGUUGCUCAUGGAUUUUCUUAACCAAAGGAGCAAGGCUGAAAGUUAAGAUCAACACAAUAAAUGAAAAACAACCACAACAGUAACCCUUCAUUAAACAUCAUCAAUGCUGCAACACAAUGUAACCUAGUCUCAUAAGAGUCAAACUAAACAAAUACAAUGAAAAGAUGGCACAUGCCAAUAAGUACUUUGACUCGAUGAAUGAAAAGCAAUCAGAAAACAGCCACAACAGUAACCCAUCAUGAAACAAAAUCGGUCUUGCAACACAUGAAGGUACUCUCAUCUCACAACAGUCAAAGCAAACCAAAACAAAGAAAUAACAACGCUUGCCAACAAGUACUUUAACUCAGCCUCUCUCAUCCAUCGAAAAGCGAAAAAAAUGUUGCAAAGAAGAUAGACUAUUGAGAGAACUACCAGAAUCCUCCACUGUAGAUUGGUAAAGCAAUCCAAUGUUCCAGAAUUGAGAGAAAAUGAAUUAAGCAUGGAUUAACAAUCUAUCACCGUGAAAUUAAUAUGUUUAAAAUACUUGACUGAAUGUAAUGCUAAGGAUGAAACUAAACAUUAUGACCAUUGAAUAUAUGUAAAUGGUCAAAUUAAAGAGAGAUGAACCUCAUUCCCCAUCUUGGGUUAUGGAUGAACUUUUUGCCGACUUAUUGGCAAUUAUAAGCAGAAAUAUGUAAUCAAAAAAAUAAUUGGCUGAGAUGAGAAAACAUUAUGGCAUUGCUUUCUGCCUCAAAAAAAGCUUUAGGACAAUAGCAACAUUCUGUGGGUGCAGGAAGAUUCCUGAUGAACUAUCCAAUUAUAACAUAUACCCUUGAGAGUUCAGAGCAGCUUUUUGGCAGUUGAAGAAUUAAUUAUCUCCUUUGGCUAGUUAGCCUAUAAAUUCUACCAUCAUUCACUUCCCCAUUUGCCACUGUUCCUCGAAGUCCAUAGAAUUCCACUUAGAUAAAUAUUCUAACCUAGGGUUAUUAGCACUUUCAGAUGUGCUCUGAUUCCUGUUUGAUUAUUACAACUUGCCUUUUGUUUAAGUUUCAACUCAUAAAACGUUGGGGCCACUGCCAAGUCAUCCCAUAUUCAAGGUUUUCUCUUGAUCUUUUAUAUAUAAAUAAAGAACUCAUCAAUCAAAGUAUCUCUCUAAUGCUUAUGCCUUUGCCAUUGCGGAUCCGCAUGAAAUUACUGAAGGAGUAGGAGGCAGGAUAGUACUUUUGCCUGGUAAUGGUGAGUUCCUAUGAACAACCCGCUCAACAAUUAACUACAAUGUAUAUGAAACAAAAUAAGUUCAACCAAAGAAGCUCAGAUGAAUGUCCAGUUUCCAAUUUCUCAUUCUCCACUAAGUUUCCCAGUAAGCCAGCAAUUUAGCAACCCGAUUCUUAAAGCCAAUUGUUUCUUUGAAAUUUCCAGAAAUUCGGAACAUGCUAUAACUACGCAAAGUCACAAUGUUCAUAUGUAAUUAAAAUCAUGGUAUAUAUAAAGGCUCAAAGACCUAAAUCAUUGCUAGCACAUAGAAACCUCAUGCAUCUAGCAGUAGAUACAACCGCCACUCAAAUCCAAAGAACAGAAAUUAGAAGUUGUCAACUGCCAGACAAAUAAAGAAAUUCUUUUGUUCAUUUCUCAAAAAAGCUAUCUCAACAAAUGCAUUGCACAAAACAAAAAGUCUUGUAAUGGGAGAAGGUGCAAAUUUUGCAAAUAUUACUAGCUGCAGAAUUACCAUUUUACAGCUAAUCCAGAGACAUCACCAGCCACAUCAUCAAGCUGCUGCAGAACAAUAUUUGACAACUUCCCCUCUAGCUCGACAUCAAGUUUAAAUCCCUCCUUGUUUAAUUCAUUUAGCAAAUCAGAUGUUGCCAUGUAUCUGUAAUCCUUAUCCUUCCCAGUCAUCUGCACCAAUAUAUCAAGUAAGCAAGCAAUAUCCAGCGAAACUUUGAAAGGAGAAACCCACAGCGAAAUCAGACACAUAGAUACAGAUGGAAAGAACGGACCACCUUUUGGAAGAUGGAAAGUAAAGGGGCCUAGAAUUUGAACAUACAAGAAAACAGACUGACUAGUUACCUUUUCAAGUAUGCCAGUUAUGGUGAGAUUCGCCGCCAUUUUAAGGAACCUGAUGAACUAUAAUCCCGGAAAUAAGAUUAACCUGCAGAACAAAACCCUUAGAAAAUCAAAAAAAUCAAAGAAGAAACAAGCAAAUGGCUGCAGGGGUUAGAACCACAUAUUUACUAAUUGUAAACAGCAUGAACCAUUAUCCAGAUAAUUAAAGAUUAAAAACAGUACCAAAACCAAACUAUUUUAGAUAAAGGAGAUGGAAGUCAUUAAUGUCAAAAUAAACCAACUGAAAUAGAGGCUGAGCUGAAAGUAUAGAAUAACCAAGUGACAGGCAAGUGUAUACAUGGAGAAGUCCCGAUGUACAUGGAGAGUCGUAUGCAUCUAACUCUAAAAGCUGACAUCAUGGAAGCAGUCCAACAAGAUCCUUUAAUCACACAACCAACUCUUUUUAGAUUAAAAUUUUUCACUUGCGUGCCUUUAGAAUUACAGUAAUAAUUGAGCAUACAAAAUUUAAAUGUACGAUCAUUAUGAGGUCUGGAAUUUGCACCAUGUAAAACCCAUAUAACCCACAGUAAGAAAAAGAUCAAACACAACCAUCCCAGACAUGUCAACAUAGCCCGGGAGGCCUCUGCCCUUAAAAUCCUUUAAGUACUCAUGAUUAAUAUUUUAAAAGUGAUUCCCUGUUGAAUACUAAAACUAAAACAAUUCCUUUUAUUUCGAUUUGGAUUUACUUUUUCAGCUCUUCCCUGCCGUAUGAAAAGAACUCCAUAAAGAACAUAAUUGCCAUUUACACCUUUCAGUCCACAGAAGUUUCCAAAAUAUUGAAAGUCUACACCAGAUUGAGUAAAUAUAAUUUGGAUUUGUUGUCUUGAAACUGCCGCAUUAAGGAUGUUGUUGUGCUAUUCAGCUUCAACUUAGCAUGUAUUUAAUGCAAUCUAUAUCUUAUUCCAAAUAGCAUAUCACAUCUUUUAACUACUGCUUCUCUCAAAUUAGGGCCCUUGCUUUAAAACUAUCAUCGUAUCGGAUAUGCCCCAUGGGUCUUAAUAGAGACUCACAGACUACCCAUUGCCCGCCCGACGCCAGUCAACAUGACUUUAACAAAUCACUAACCAAAAUCCACAAGGUAAAUAAAUUUAGAUAGACCAACGGUUUGUCCAUGAAAAAUAAAAUUUAACUCAAAUUAAAUGUUCAGAGACCUCAUUCUGUUAUCAACCAAAGAACUAGACAAGAGGGUUCUGUAUAUCCCUUCAUCUAGCAUUGUAAGCAAAGACUGCCCCACGUACAAUAGCAUAUGACCCACAAAACAUAAUUAACCAUUAACCACAGUUUCAGAAGUCUUCAAAACACAUAAAUUAGCAUAUAAUCAAAAACAACAGAAGAAAAUUAUGCUUCUUAAGGAACGUAAAAACAAACACUUGAUGGAUGGUAAGAAUAGUAAAAAGAUCAGUAAACAGCUUCUAUGAAUUCUCAACCAUUGCCCUAAAAACCAAUCGAUAAUCACAAGGACGAGCUGAACUAUGAACCAAAAAAAAAAAUUUUUAAAAAAAACGCAUUCAUAAGUUUUAAGUGAAAGCGAACAUAAAAGGAAAUGAACGCCUACCUUGAGUAUCACGGCCAAAAAUAAAAAAAUAAAAAAAGGCAGAAAACGCAGGCUUGCGCUGUGGUUGUAUAGAUAAAAUAUGCGGAAUUGAUCGGUUUGGAUUGUUUCCCGGAGCUGUUAAACCCUACCAGUACAAUGCGUAACAGUUUGCAGGCAUCAGACUGAGACUGUGUAGACUGCGUGUAGUGCGUGUGAGUGAGGUUUUAGAGAAAGAAAACAGAAAUUGACGCAAGAAGCGAUGACCGUCUUUAGCUUGGCCGCACCUUUUUUUAUUAUUUUAUUGAAAGAGAAGAGAAGAGAUGAGAGACAGGUGGGGCGGUCGCGGUGGGCUAUGGCUGAAGGAGAGGGAAGGAAGACAGGGACUCCGAGGUUACAGAUUGAUCGAGGAAAGUUUCUAAAAACUUCACAUCGGCCCAAUGUCGUGUCCGGGUCGGGUUUUUUCAAAGUUUUUCAAAUUUAAAGGCAUGUUUGGAACCUGAGUUUUUUGUGAGUUUGUCUAAAACUUUACUGUAGUGCACUGUAGAAGUUGUUAAAAAAAUUUUGUAGAAGUUUUUGUAAGGUGAAAAAUUUUUUUGUAUAGUGAAAAACUUUUUUUUCCUUUUCUUUUUUUCUUUUUCUUUUUCUCUUUCUUUUUCUUUUUCUUUCUUUUCUUUUUCUUUUCUUUCUUCUUCUUCUUUUUCUUCUUCUUCCCCGUUACCUCCCGGCAGCAACACCCUUUCCCCCUUCUCCCGCCCACUGCCUCCCCCGCCUCUGCCUCCCCCGCCUCUGCCCUCCCUUUCCCCCUUCCCCCGCCCACUGCACUGCCCUUCCCCAGCCACCCCUCUGCCCUCCCUUCCCCUUUCCCCCUUCCCCCGCCACCCCUCUGCCCUCCCUUUCCCCUUUCCCCUGCCCACUGCCGUCUGCCGUGCCCUUUCCCCAUCCAUUGCCCUCCCUUUGCCCUUUUCCUCCCCUCUGCCCUUCCCCUGCAGCCCAGCCGCACCAGACGCUCUCGCAGGCCCAGGCUCGCGACCAGACGCAGCCCAGGCUCAGCUUUUCCUCUUCUCCACAGUGCACCAAAUGCAGCUGAGGCUCGUGUCCCAGCCGCAACGCACGCGCAGGAUGAGGGACGAUACGACGGUGGUGCCGGGUUGGGAUGGGGGAGGAAGUAGGAAAAAAGGGAAGGGAAUUUUUUUUUGUGUGUUUUGGGUAUUUUGAAGUGUGUAGGAAAAAAAUUUUGAGAAGUUUUUUGGGGUUCCUGUAGCAAAAGUUGUUAAAAAACUAGUAGGUAAAAAACUUGUCUAAAAAACUGGCUUCCAAACAGGGCCUAAGUGUAUCCGAGCCAGGUUUUUUUUUUCAAGGGUUAUUAUCACUUUACGCCCUUAACGUUUGGUACUACUAUCAAUUUCCCCCUUAACGUUAUCUUUUAGUCACUUUACCCCCAAGACUAACGGUCAAACUUAACGAAAUUUGUUAAUUAAAGUGAAAAGAUAUGUUUAACCCUUAAAAUUAUUAUCACUUUACCCUCAUAAAUAUAGUCUCGUUAUCAAUUUACCCCAUAGAGUUAUUUUUUAGAUAAUUUAUUCUACCAUUAAACCAACUUAGCAAGUUAAAAAACUUUAGAAGAAAAUACCCUUGUCUUUACAUAAUAAAAAUAGUAAAAAAUCUAGAGUGACUCUUCUCCUUUUUAAUAUCAAGAAAAAAAGUCAAAAUAUUAAUUUUUUUUCUUGACAAUUUUAUUACAAUUGAAAAAAAAUAGAAAGACGGAGAGGGAGAGGAGGAGAGAGAGAACUCAAUUCUUUUUUUAAAAAUUACAAAUAAGAAAGAAUUAAAUACUUUUAUUAUUUUAAAAAUAUUUCACUUUUUUGUUUACCACUAAAUUUCAAUUCUAAUCCCGACAAUCUUAAAGUAAUACGAUAAUGUUAUACUUUUCUUUAUUUUAUUUUUUUGCAAAAUCUAAUUUUUUGUCUCCUUCUUUCCUAUAUUAAUUAAGUGCGAAAAAAGAAAUUUGAGAAAAUUCUUUUAUUUUUAUGUUUUUCGAUCUCUUAAAGUGAAAAAAAAAAGGAAGAAUAACCAUUCUAACUUUUUAUUUUUAAUUAUAUAUAAAAAGGGUAAAUAUAUUUAAAAUUUUUUGACCAUACUAGUUAGAUUAAUGAUAAGUAAAAUGCCUAAAAAUAAUGUUAGGAACUAAAAUGAUUGUAUCACUAUAAUUCAAACGAAUAAAGUGAUAAUAACAACGUAGUAAUGCUAUAAAAUAAAAAGAUAUUUUUGUCCAAAAUUUAUUAACAUGCUGAGUUGAAUUACUUAUAGGAGUGAAGUGACUAAAAGAUAACGUUAGGGGGUAAACUGACAAUAGUGAUAUAGUUUAAAGGAGUAAACUAAUAAUAACCCUUUUUUUAAUAUAAGAUGAGAUAAUUUGAUAUUUUCAGGUUGCUAAGCAACCAGUGUGUACCAAAUUGAGACUAAUCGAUACACAAAUUGUAGAUUUUUCUUAACAAAAAAAAAUUGUGUACCAAGUGUGUUUUUUUUUUUUUUAAGUGGGAGGCCUACUGAAUACCAAGUUGUUUAUGUAUAUACCGUUAUUCUUUUUUAAACAAGGAGAGAGAGAGAGAGAUAUUUAUCGAUGCUAAGAUUGCUGCCUACUUGGGAUUAAUCACUUAUGGUUCAUUUGGAUUCUUGUUUUUGGGCUUGUUUUUGAAAAACUGUUUUUCACAAUCCAAAUGCUACAGUAAAUGUGUAUUUCAAAAACAACUCCAAAAACACCAUAUCCAAACAAUAUAUCAAAAACAACUCCAAAUACAUAUUUAAUAUGUUUAUUUCAAUUUAUAUAUUUCAAUUAUGUAUAGGAUAUCUAUAUAUUAUAUUAAUUUAAAUAUAUUUAUUUAUACAUAUUAUAAAUAUUUUAUUUUAUAUAAAAUAUAUUUUUAUAUUUUUAUAUAAAUAUUAUAUAUUAUAUAAAUUAUAAAUGUGUUAUUAUACAUUUAUAUAAAUGUUAUAUAUUAUAUAUAUAUUUAAUAUAUACAUAAUAUAUAUUAUAUAUAUUGAACAUUUAUAAAAAUGUACAUUUAAACAUAAUAUAUAUAUUUAUGUAUAUUUAUAAUAUACACUUAUAUUAUGUAUUAUAUAUAAUAUAAUACAUUUAUACAUUUAUAUUAAUAUACAUAAUAUUAAUUAUAAAUUUAUACAUAAUAUUAAUAAAUUUAUACAUUUAUAUUUAUUACAUUAAUACAUUUAUGCAUAGUAUUAAUAUAUAUUUAUAAUAUAUUAAUUUAUACAUUUAUAUAAUAUUCAUUUAUAAUUUAUACACAUUUAUAAUAAUAUACAUUUAUACAUUUAUAAAUAUAUUUAUAUUAUGUAUUAUAUAUAAUAUAAUACACUUAUAAUACAUUUAUAUAUUUAUUUAUAAAUAUAAUAUAUAAUAAAUAAAUAUAAUACACUUAUUUAUUUAUAUAUAAUAUAUAAAUUUAUUUAUAAAUAUAAUACACUUAUUUAUUUAUACAUAAUAUAUAAAUAUAUUUAUUUAUAAAUAUUUAUAAUUGUAUUAUAAAUGCAUAAAUGUAUAUAAAUAUAAAAACAUAAAAAUUAUAAAUUAUAAAUUAUAAUAUACAUUUAUAUAAUAUACAUUUAUAAUUUAUACACAUUUAUAAUAAUAUACAUUUAUAAAUAUAUUUAUGUUAUGUAUUAUAUAUAAUAUAAUACACUAAUAAUACAUUUAUAUAUUUAUUUAUAAAUAUAAUAUAUAAUAAAUAAAUAAAUAUAAUACACUUAUUUAUUUAUAUAUAAUAUAUAAAUUUAUUUAUAUAUAUAAUACACUUACUUAUUUAUAAUAAUAUAUAAAUAUAUUUAUUUAUAAAUAUUUAUAAUUGUAUUAUAAAUGCAUAAACGUAUAUAAAUAUAAAAACAUAAAAAUUAUAAAUUAUAAAUUAUAAUUUACAUUUAUAAUUUAUAUAUUUAUAGUAAUAUACAUUUAAACAUUUAUAUAUAAAUAUAUGAAUAUAUUUAUUCAUAAAAGUAUAAAUAUAUUUAUUUAUAAAUAUUUAUAAAUGUAUUAUAAAUGCAUAAAUGUAUAUAAAUAUAAAAAUUAUAAAUUAUAAUUUAUACAUUUAUAUAAUAUUCAUUUAUAAUUUAUACAUUUAUAAAUAUAUUUAUAUUAUGUAUAUUUUUAUAUAAAUAUAUUUAUUUAUAAAUAUUUAUAAAUGUAUAAUUGUAUAUUGUUAUAAAAAUUUAAAAAUUAUACAUUAUAAAAAUACUCGAAAAUAUGUUUUAAAAAUACAUCUAAAAAUAAUCCAUAAAACAUCUACAGUAAAAGUUUUUUAUAUAAUUUUUGAAAAACAACCCCAAAAACAACUAAUCCAAACGGACUUGUAUUUGAAAAACGAAAUGCUACAGUGCUGUUUUUGAAAAACAACCCCAAAAACAGCUAAUCCAAACGGACCCUUAGUUUAGAUAUACAAAUUUAAAUUUACCUCGUUUAAAAACACAAUAAGAUUUAUUGAAUUUCAUAAAGUGUAUCCAAAGAUUUGUCACGUCUUCAUCAUAGUUCCAACAAUUUCAAUUACAGUGUAAUAUUGGAUUAUAAAUAUCUGAACCCUCCAAAGCAACUUCAAUUUCUCUUAUUUGAUGUUCCCCUAAAACAAAAUGAAACUUAGUCACUUGUGUGGAUUUAUCAUAAUUGCUUUUGUGUCCAUUUAGCUUGAUGGAAAAAAAAAAAGAAAACAAAAAGGAAAAAAAUCUAGAGUAAACUCAUAAUUGGCAAACAAAAAUAAAAAUUUCUAUAUGUUUCCUUCACUUUUGUAAGUGAAGAUGCAUACUUCAAUUUUACGAAUUUCAAUUGUUAAAAUACUGCAUGAUACCCUUUAAAUUGUUUCAACCAAAUGGUUGUACUUUUUCUUUCCCCUUAUCCGAUGGGCGUUUGGAAUCAUUUUAAAGUGACAGAUCACAUACAGUGACAGAUGGUGGGAGGCAAAGUUUGAACCUUGACCUCCCACCCCACCAAAGCCUGCCAUUGAAUGAAAAGAUAGUCAAACAAUAAAAGGAAUAAGAGAAACUACAGACCCCAGAUGGCAUGAAAGCCUUAAUUCGUUUGACAAACAAAUGUACAACCACAAGAAGCAAAUGAGAAGCAUGGAAAACUCCAGUAAUGGAAUUCCAUUAAAUGACGCUGCAACAGUUAUUGAACUCACAAUAGCUCAUUAUCACAAGAAUUACAAACGAAGCCCCAGAUCAGGCUGGAAGAGAUGAACCUACAGUAGUGCUGUAGUGGCAAACUUGCUUUUAUUUGCUAGCAUGGUAUUGUAAUAGGAAACUGCCUCUUCCAGAGAGGUUUGAUUUGUAAUAAUGCACAAAGGAAUGA
rnacentral:lncRNA from 1 species